rnacentral:lncRNA from 1 species
UACGAUAAAAGUUUAAGGAUAUAAUUUCAACUAUCACCAUACUUUUGACCGAAUUUUUACAACUUGCCCUAAUAUUAACGACAAAGAAUAUGCUGAGAACAUGCUAUAUGAAUAUUAUUUACAAUAACUUCAAACAUUUAAAAGCACACUAUGAUCUAUCUGCUCAAAUUGACAACAUUGAAUAUAGCCAAAAGUACUUGGAUAUUCAAACGAGAGAGGUAUCGGAACCACAUGUUCACAACAACCAAUGCCUUUUGAAGGUACUUUUGGGACACCAAAGUAUAUGCUGAGUCAAGCUGCCUCUAAUAACAACAAAUUCCUUUAGUUGCUUUCUUCUUUCACAUGGCCAUAUCCCCACCAGAGAACCCGUAUCUAAUUAUCCAAUUCAAUCCCUUACACAAUUCACAAAAGCCACUUAUUUCUUGUGUGGCCACAGAAUCACCUCCCUCAAUCAAAACUGUUUACUCCUCUAUCUUUAUAAGAAUUAACAAAUGAUUCACAUCUUCUCAUAUAAAGUGAAUAAGUGGAGCAGAGGAAACAGAAUAUGUUAGAGCAGAGACAACACUGAUGGAUUUUCUUAUUCAUAAAUUUUAAAGAAAAAUCAGUACAAAUGAUACCAUUACUGAAACAAACAAGAGCAAGGUGGAGUCAUGAGACAUUUUGAACUACUAUAGUGCUUAGAGAAAGGCUAUGAGAAUAAUUAAUUUGAUGGGAGAUUGAAGAAUAAAUAAAAGAUGAAGUACCUCUUAAGAUUGAGCAUAGAAGAUACAGAAAAGAGAGGUCCAGGAGCUGUUGUAGACUUCAUUUUCACUCAAAAAUACUAACGCCUCUCUCUGUUUCUCAUUGUGACCUCAUUUACUGUAAACAGAAUCAUAAGUAACAGAGAACGUGCUUCACUUUUUUUGUUUUGUUUUUUUGUUUUUGUUUUAACAAGAAGGAUUCACGCUUUGCUUCGUUUAUUACAAUAAAGAAAUUCAUGUCAUGGGCCGCUGAUUUCCAUAUAUGGAAGAUACAAUGAUCCUAGCUAAGUUCUCGAGCUGCUGCUACAACAGCCUCUACUGUGAGACCGAACUCCUUGUAUAUUUUUCCUGCUGGUGCACUCGCGCCAAAUCGAUCGAUACCAAUUGCCUUCCCUUUGCUUCCAACAAUCUUUCCCCACCCAAAUGUUGAACCGGCCUCAAUGCUGACUCUAGCUGUUACAGCUUCUGGCAAAACACUUUCCUUGUAGGCAUCUGACUGAUCAUCAAAAAGCUCCCAAGAGACAAAGGAAACAACUCUAACAGCUUUUCCUUCCUUUCUGAGUUCCUCUCCUGCUUGGAAAGCAAUCUCCAAUUCAGAACCAGUUCCAAUCAAGAUAACAUCUGGCUUGUUGCCUGAAGAGUUGUCGGAAACAAUGUAUCCACCCUUCUCGACUCCUUCAAUUGAAGUUCCAGGUAAAUGAGGCAACUUUUGCCGCGAAAGGGCCAUAAUAGAAGGUCUCUUCCUGUUUACAACUGCAACUUUGUAAGCACCAGCAGUCUCGUUACCAUCAGCAGGCCUAAACAUCAAUAUGUUGGGCAUCGCCCUAAAGCUUGCCAGGUGCUCUAUUGGCUGAUGGGUUGGACCAUCUUCUCCAAGCCCGAUUGAAUCAUGAGUCAUGACGUAGAUGACACCAGCUUCAGAUAAGGCAGAAAUCCUCAUAGCAGCUCUCAUGUAGUCAGUGAAAACAAAGAAUGUGGCACAGUAUGGGAUAAACCCAGGACUGUGAAGGGCAAUCCCAUUGCAUAUGGCACCCAUUCCAUGUUCCCUGACACCGAACCUAAGAUUGCGUUCUUCUGGAGUGUUCUUUUGGAAAUCCCCAUACAUUUUCAGAAGGGUCAUGUUGGAUGAUGCCAAGUCAGCACUGCCACCAAGGAAACCAGGAAGAACUUUUGCGAGAGCAUUAAGGCAUUGCUGAGACAGAUUUCUAGUUGCAUCACCUGGACUCUCAGGUGUAUAUUUCUGCAAAGUUGCAUUCAGGAAGCCCUUUAAGAUCAUUUAUAGCCAAUGUAUACACUUUAAGAGUUCAUAAAUGGAGUGAAAAUGAAUAAGACUUUGUCUAGCACAACUUGAACAGUAUGUAAGUGGAGUGAAAUUGUACAUUUUAGUUCAUUUCCAGUUGCAUGAAAUUAUUAGUAAGCAAAUAUGAAUGUGCCUAAUUCAAUUGGAUUUGAGACCACUCACCGGAAGUGCAUCUUCCCAGCCCGCUGGUAGUUCACCAGUGAUGAUAGACUUCAACUCAGCCGCUUCCUCCGGGUACUUCUUCUCAUAUUCAGCAAAUUUAGCAUUCCAUUCUGCUUCAAAAUCUGCACCCAGAGGAGUGUGACGACUCCAGUGCCUGAAAAAUCAUUAAUACUGUUGAUCAAUAACACUUACCAUGUAGAGAGAUUAGACAUGAAAAGAAGAGAGCUAAUAAUUCUUACUUCUGGACGUCCUCUGGCACAUGGAAAGGUUCAUAUGGCCAUCCAAGGUUGCUCCUAGUAGCCUCAACUUCUUUUGCACCAAGGGCACUUCCAUGCACACUGUAUGAAUUGGCUUUGUUUGGAGAUCCAAAACCAAUGGUUGUUGUCACCUGAGAAGAUGGUAAAACUCAAUCAAAGUGACGGAAGGUAAAAUAAAGAAGGUCAUGUUUCACAGUUAGCUAAAAGUGAAAUGAAUAGAAAUUCAUACAUGCUGGCUUUCCAACAACUAAAAACAAUCUUUGAAACUAACUUCAAGCAUAAUAAUCUAAAUUACAACUUCCUUACAAAUUUGGAAUUUUAGACGACGUUUCAUGGAAAAAUACUAUUGUAUUGCUAUAUCUAAGUGCAGAAAAUAUACUUCAAUUUCAAAGACACGUGAAAUCCCAAACCUUGAUCAUUGUAGGCUUGUCUUUAACAGCUUUAGCUUCCUGAAUUGCCGCACGGAUUUCAUCAUAGCCAGUGUUUCCAUUCUUCACCCAGAUAACGUGCCAUCCAAGACCCUCAAAACGAGUGUCAACACUCUCGGUGAAUGCAAUCUCUGUAUCUCCAUCAAUUGAAAUGUGGUUGUCAUCAUACAGAGCAAUAAGCUUUCCUAGUCCCCAGUGACCAGCCAAAGAACAAGCCUCAUUGGCAAUUCCCUCCAUUUGACAGCCAUCUCCCAGUAUAACGUAUCUGUAAAACAAUAACAUAUACACAUACCUCUGAGCAAAAACAAAACAGGUGCCACUCAUCUACAAAAUGGAAAUUCUCUUACGUGUAGUGGUCGACAAUCUCACUGUCUGGUUUGUUAAACCGAGCAGCCAAGUGUUUCUCAGCAAGGGCUAGACCAACAGCAUUUGCAAUUCCCUGUCCAAGAGGACCUGCAAGCCAUUUGGAAAAUAGAAUCAAAUUAUAAGGUAAGCCAGUCCUAUCAAUUUUUUUCUUGAAAGAAGGAUCAAAGGAGUUUCAAAGACAAAAAUCUUACCAGUUGUAACCUCGACACCAGGAGUCUCAAAGUUCUCCGGAUGUCCAGGCGUUCGGCUUUCCCACUGACGGAAGCUCUUCAAGUCCUCCUCCUAAUAUCCAAUUCAUCAGAUAGAAGCAUUCAUUUAGUAAAACCAUAAACUAAGCUAAAUUCCAAACGGAUAAGCCGCUGUUCACUCCCACAAAACCACCAUUUUAGAUGAUCAUCAAACUCUCAAAGUAAACAGGGCAAUACCAGAGACCCAAAAUAUCAAGAAAAACCAUACCCAGAAACUUAAAGUUUAGGUGAAUUCGAUUAAGAUAUGCAUAAGAUAAUGUAGAUCAAAACCAAAUGAAACUGCAACAAAUGAAAAUUGCUCAAAAAAACCUACCCUGACACUGUCGUACCCAGCAAGAUGAAGCAGAGCAUACUGCAACAUACAACCAUGUCCAGCGGACAAAAUGAACCGGUCCCGAUUGAACCAGUAAGGGUUUUUGGGGUUAUACUUCAUGACCUCAUCGUAAAGAAUAUGACCCAUCGGCGCACACCCCAUGGGCAAACCAGGGUGACCGGAAUUAGCUUUCUCAACCGCAUCAAUGGCCAAGAAUCGAAUCGUAUUGAUGGACUUCUCGACGAGGGCAGUUUCUGCAGUGGUGCCCAAUGUCUCAGCGAUGGCGGCUCUAACGAUCUGACGGCGGUAGUGGGUAGCUCUGGGACGGUGGGCGGAGCCGGUGAGACGAGGUGGUUUGGUGGAUUUGAGGCCGGAGAAUGUGGGGAUAGAGAGGGGAACACGGUCGGAGGAGGAAUUGGAGCCAUGGCGAGAGAUUUCGCGGGACAAGAGAGCUUGAGAAAGGGUGAGAGAAGAAGUGGAAGCCAUGGCUUUGGGAUUGGUGAAGGAUUGAAGAAAUGGACUGUGAGAAUUAUCAGUUAUAUUUCGUGUGGAAAUGGAAGUUCGAGCUUAUGGACUACACAAAAAUGGAGGUAAGAGACGAGAGGUGGCCGUCGGAUUAGAACUGUGGAGAAUCUCAGCCGUUGACUGUGGGUAGGAUAUCCGCUGCCUUUCAAAACUCCCUCCACUAUUUAACGGGUUUUUAUUUUUAUUUUUAAUUAAAGAAAAUAAAUGAAAAAGGAAAACAACUGUUGGUGAAUUAGAUGAUAUUCAAAUAAUGAUUUGUAAUGUUUGUUGCUCAACCUUUGCCAGUGUCGCCUAACUCUCCCUAUCUUAAAAUGUCUCAUCUUUUAUUCUAUACAUUUUAGAUUGAUCGAUUAAAAUCGUAGUGAAUAUAAAACAUAUAUAAAUUUGUCGUACGAGUAAACUUAUCUCAAUAGUAAUUAAUAAUUUGAUAUUUUGUGUAGUAAGUAUAAGAUUCAAGAUUGAAGUAAGGAAGGACAGGUAUUGAUUGCUGGUUCCCAUCGAGUCAAAGACAAAAGAAGACCAAAAUAACCUUUUAUCAUCGUAUAGGCUUUUAUUUUAUUUCUCUUAAUUAAAUGUAUAAGUUAGUAUGAUUCGUUACAUUAAGUUUUAAACAUCUACAAUAGACACAAACAAUAAUCUAUCUUAAUCCAUCGCAAUCUCGAUGAUAUUUUACUAUAUUUUAUAAAUAUUUUAAAUCAUUUUGAUAGGUUACAAAAUUUAAUAAAAUGUUUUGAAAAAUAUAUUAAUAAACAAAGUGGACUAAUUUGGACUAUUUGGACUGAUUUCAUUUUAUUUUAUGUUCAUUUGAUCGAUUCUACAAUUUUUUUAUAGUUUGUAAAUCUACUUUUGAUCAUCCUCGUAUGCGUAUCUUUAUUAAAGUUCAAAUUCAUAAUUAAUUUUCGCAUGUUUGCUUCUUACCCACUUCAAUUUACGUACAAAACAAACAAAUAAAUAAUUUCAUGCCUACAUUUUUAAUAAAUUUAAAAAGCAUCUUAAGCUUUUCAAGAAACUAUGUCACCCCCAUGGACCAUAUUAUAAUAUUUACCUACAAAUUACAUGGUACAUCAUCAUCUAUACAAACUCUUCUUUCUUAUUUAUUUAAAAGUUGUAUUUGUUUCCUUCACCUUCUAACCAAUUCAGAGUCAUUUUCCUUAUUUUUUUUUUUAAUAGUCAAAUUUGAAAACCAAAAGUUCAAUAGUAAAAACCUACUUUCUCUAUUUAUUAAAAUUUUUAAAUCAUUUAUAAAAAUAGUUAAUAAAACAAAAAAAAAUCCUUGUUGAAAUAGUAUUUAUAGACUUAAUUUUCAAACGAACCAAAAUCCUAAAUGGUAAUGAAACAUAAUUCAUAAGCUAACCUAAAGUGACAAAAUUUUGGUAAAAAACACAGCAUGACCAAUAGCAUGAAAAUACUUUGUAUCAAUAAUCAAACUUUCAUCUUUUCUAAAAAGAAAAGGUAUUUAACUAAUAAUAUAUUUAAAGAAGCGAUUGUAUACCAUCUGAAACAUUUAUGAUUAAUGAUUACCGUAUAAACUUAAAGAGAGGGCAAAAUAAAGACCCAAUUUUCAAUUUCCCAUAUCAAAGUAGUUCUACUAUGCAUAUAUUUAUAAAUAAGAUGAAGCUUGGGAACAUAAGAAUUCAUGCGAGAAUUUAAAGGCGUUUUGAAUCUUACAAUCUUACAUCAUUUUGGUUCUCUUAUUACUGGAUGUACAAUUUCUAAUGCCUCUACAAGUCACAGAAUAAGGUGCCGAGGCAGAUUGAAGAGAGGGUGACUUUUCAAGAUAUGCGUACCUUUCAUCGCCGUUCCAAUACAAAAUGAUCCGAUUCGUGCAAGAGUGUGACCAGCUAUCACCUGAUCAGUUCGAUGGAAUCAUAAUGCUUGAAGACAUCCAAGUGAGUGCAACAACGUAAUAUGUCAACAAUGAAUUUCAACGGUGGAAGGUAAGGGGUGACUUAAAAGGACAUACCCAAUGCAAGAGUUAAUUGGAAUGAGCCUUCGGCGAACUUAGUCGUCACCUGAUUAAAUAGAACAACCUGCCACACGGUUGAAGAAAAGAGGGCAAAAAUGCAAGAAAGACGGAAAAAACAUUAUUAGAAUAAACGUAAACGUCAACAGGAGUAUGUUAGAAGGAACAUGAUAUGUAAAAUAAAAACGGUAGAGUGACAUAACCAAGCAUAUAUGAAUUUCUCUUAGUAUUGGUUGAAAAGUAAAAAGAUGCAUAUUCAGAAUAUUGACAUGAUAUGGAAAGAGCAUGGAAGAACAUUAUCUACUUAAAUAUCGUUUCUUCAAAUAGAUGAAUUUACAUAUAUCAUGCUCAACCUUAUGUUAAAGCUAAGACAUUCGAGGCCAGUGAAUUAUCAUUGCAAAUCAACCAAAUGGAGGUCAGUGGAACUCAUCAACUGCAAGGAAGAUGACAUUCUUUUACAAUUAACUAUAUAGCAUAUGCUACUCAUAUCAAUUUAAGUUGAUACCUAAUCGUAUAUUUGAGUUAGUUCGAAACAUUAUAACGAGAGAUGGUUGAUUCUUACAGCCAAACUGAACUUCUUGGCCAGCUUCAUGAACUUAAGAGCCAUUUCACUGAGCAACCGUGUCCGGAGGGCCAAAUCAUCAAAAUUUUGGCGAAAAUGGAAUGUCACACUAUCAACUAUGACAACCUUAACCUGCAAAGAAAUAGUCGGUAAUUUUCAGAACAUUUGAACUGUAGGCCGACAAACGAGAUGUAGAAGAAAACCAUUUAAUUAAUAACAAUGGUUAUAAAUAUCCAAUUCAAGAAAAGCAACAACGUACUCUAGACAAAAGAAGAAGCUUCCAAGUAGCAUGGCAUCAUUAAGUAAUGUAAUACAAGAUAAACUUGAAAGACGAGGGAACUACACAUAUCUGAAUCAGUUACCUCACGCUAACAAAAAAUUUAGAAGUUCAAAGAAAAAUCUACCUACAUCUUUGUGCUCAGUAAUGAACUUGUCCAGAUAAUUUAUUAGAGCAAUUUGCUCUGUGUAGCUGCAGACACGAAAAUAAAAUAUAUUUUCCAAGAUAUCUUUCGGUUCGAUUUGAAUUUGAUGAGGUAUUGCAUUCUUCUUUAGUAAGACACUGUAAUCUGACAUAUCCUCUAUACAUGCUUCAGCAAUCUGCAAAGCACGCUCCACCAUAAAGCUCCCUUCUGUAUCUAGAAAUCAAGGAAAGCCAUAUCCCUAACUAGAUUGCAAUUUCAAGCAAAAAUGUCGAAAGAACCAGGAGCAAAAUCUGGAAGGGAACCUACCUACCUAUAUAAACUGCUUUUCCACCUACCCCACCAAAUGCACCUGGAAUUUGGACAUUUACCGCAAGUUGAAUCCUGUUACCCCAUACAGAAAGACCAUGACGUUUUAUUUCUGACCAGCAUAGAACCAUUUUCAUAUUGGGAAAGAAACAUAUAACAAAUAUUCAUACCCAAGCUGUGUUUUACCUAUGCCCGGUACUCCACCUGGCAUAAAGAAAGAGAUUUUUUAAAAUGCUCAUAUUGCUAGAAGCAUAGUAAAAGAACAUGAGUUGACAUUAUAUUAUAAAUAAAUAAAAUAAAGUGCACUAUUCUUUACAAAAUAAAGAGGAAAAAACAACGCAUUCAAUAUACAUAAUAAUACAACUGACCAGAAGAAAGGAUAUUGCUCACUAACCAAUUUCCGUAACUUCACUGACAUUAAUUCCUCCGCCAAGAAGGUUAUCUAAAUCUGCACAAGAUGUGGUAAUACGUGGAAUGAACUGCUCUUUGUGAAGCAUAUCCCAAGCAGUCUCCGCACCUGUACUAUAUAAGAUAUCAAAUUAGAUAUCUGAAAUGACAUACAUUGAUCAGAACUAACUCCGCGAUAUAUAAAUAAUAAUUAGAAAAUAACUAAAUGACUAAAUAUCAAAGUCAUUUAAAAAGACAACAAAAGCAUAUACAUCAUAUACAUCAAUGCAUUGACUGAUAAUACAUCUACGUUAAUAUUUAAAACAGCUAAUCUACAGUAAAUGAGCACGUCAAGGUAUAUCAUAAGAUAUUUACACUUUUGAUAAAGUAUUAUCCACAUUCAUUGGGGUAAUGAUAGAAACUCGUAACAAUUGUUCAAUACGAAUAACUUUUUUUGCAGAAGAAAUGAGAUACACACAAAUACAUCAUUACCAAUUUAGGGAAAUAAACCACUAUGGGAUAAGUUAACAAUAUAAAAAAUAUAUUAUUAUAUAAAACACAGUUGAAGCUUCAUUUAAAUGGGCCAUACCUAUGACAAAUUGUCAUUAAAAUAUUUUAGAGAGAAGAGCCAGUUUUGUCUAUUCCUUGAUCUAUCUGCUUUUAUUUGGAGUAAAUUAGGAAGUACUCAUCUUUGAAGAAGAAUCUUCAGAUCCAAUAAAAUGACGACAUUUAAAACAAACCACAUGCACCAUAUGCAUAAGUAACACAGUUCAGAAUUUUCUUCUUUGUUUCCCUUUCAAAAAAUCAACUAUGCAAAGAGGAAAAUGUACCAUUAACAAUAGCACCACUCCCGUCUGACCUGUCCAGCCCACGACCAUGUGAUGCAAGCUUGAGAACAUCAAAAGCUUCAUUGUUCGAGAUUUCCAAUUCUGAAUCACAUGAGAAGGCUUGUAAGAAGCCCUCAAUAUCCAAAGACAAGGAUUUAAAGUAAAAAUUAAAAUAACAAGAUCGAUGAAUCUGAGCAGGAAAGUAUAACUAAAUAUAUAAAAUUAAGAGUAAUACACGUAGUAUAAACCACGGCAUGAUGAGAGGAAAAUCCCCCAAGACAAGUUCAUUUUCAUGAAAAUUUCUUACAAAUAAGCUGAAGUGCGUGAAUUUUGGGUUACUAAAAAUGGAGAAAAAGGCCAUGCUUCCAUCCAAUCAUAGUUUAAGAUCAAAGACAUGCUACGUUAUUUGUUUAUUUUAACAAGGAUGUUGAGAAGAUUGACAGUUCAAAUAAAUUCCCUUCGAGGCAGUAAAGAUCGACUGCUUGAAAUUAAUAAAACACGACGAGAGAAGCAAGUUAAAGUUGAAACAUCUUCUUUAAGGACCAACAAUAACAGCCUUUUCAAAUACCUAACCUUAAGAGUAUAGUAAAAGGAAGAAUUAACCAAUGCUGUGUAUAGUUUUGGUCUUCAAAACUGUUUGAUUAAUUCCAAUAGGAACUUGCAAGGAUAUAAAAAUAAUUUCCGUCCGAAACUCAACACAAAUCUAAUCCAAUCCAAAGAAGUAUGGUAAUCAUGUAACAAUCGUUGCAAUUAACAUCUUUAAGACAGUCAAAAUAUCUAAGACUCUAAUGGUCUUUUCCUAUUUCAAGUUCUGUUCAGGAUCGCCAAUUGCUUAAGAGGUUAAACAUUCCUGCAAUGAAAAUUAAUCUGUCUGUUCCAAUUUCAACUUCCUUGAUCAAAGACUCGGGCGUCGAGUUAUAUCAUACAAGUGGAGAAACACACGACAAAUAUAGAGAAACAACAUAUGUACAAAGUUCGAGAACAAAUGACAAACAAUAGAUUUUGAAGCAAAAAAUAGAAGUUGAAAAAGAAGUUCGUUGAUGAGAGAAAGAAGAGCAAUGAUACCUCGAGCAAGGUCGGAAGGAGAAACGGAAGCGAGAGAGGAGAGAGUAGUGUAGCCGGAUGAAAUCAGUUUACCCCGAAGCGUGGCGGAGAUGGGUAACCUCCCGACCUCCAUUUUCGGUUCCUCUAUGGAUCUCGAAGAGACACUAUCGGCUAUCGCAAGAAGAAAAUGAAAGGAAAUGGAGUGUUCUCGCGCGCGCAGAGUCACUGCCGCCUAAAUUCUUUUACGUUGAAUUGAGAGUGUUCUUUUAUGGUAAUUCUCUUUUCUAAUUUAAAUUUCAAAACUAAAUAAAAUAAAAUAAACGCUAACAAAACAAAUAUUUACUAAAUAUAAAAAAAUUAGAUUUCUUCAGUAAUAAAUUUUAUUACUAUGUAUAUUAAUAUAAUGACAGAAGCAUACCCAUCUGAAUGGUAAAAUUGAAUUGGGUUGGGUUGAGACAUUUUCAACCCAACCCAUACUUUUGGGUUAUUUAGUUUCUAAUCCAACCCAAUUCAUAUUUUACGAGUUUUUGGAUUGUGUAUAUAAUCUUUUUUUAAUGUUUUUUCCAUUUUAUAGUUUAUAAGAUGGUAGAAGUUUGAAAUGUUUAAAUUUCAAACAUACAUAAUUCAAACUUUUAUACAAUAAAUUUAAGAUUUAUAUAUCUUUAAUUUUUUUAUUAAAAUAAUAUUUAUUUAUUUAUAUAUUAUAUUAAUUCGGGUUGAGUUUGAUUGAACCAAAAUUUUCAACCCUCCAACCCGAGGCCCAACCCAACCCGAAAAAAUCAAAAAAAUUUAACUCAACCAAACUCAUAUUUUAACCUAACUCAAUUCAACAUUUAUAAUAUGGGUUGGGUAAUUCGGAUUAUUGGGGUUCAACGCAUAUUUGUACACCCCUACUCAUCUCUAUUAAUGUCCAUAUAGAAUCUGACAUUUUUUAUGUUGUGAAUAUUUAGUUAAAUUUGCUAUUUUUUAUUAUUUUUCAAUUACAUAACCAUCCCAAUAAUUAUUAUAUUUACACUUUUUAAAUUUCAAUUAUAAACUAAUAUUAAAUUUGGACCCACAAAUGAAAAAAAGUUAAACCGUGGCACUUAUGUUAGAGUUUAUAUUGUGUUAUAUAAGUUUGGAGGUCUAAUUUAACCCAAUUUUAACAUUCAAAUAACUUUAAAAGGUUGAUUUUGUAAAAGUUUAAAGUUUAAUAAUAUAAUUUGUACUUUUACGUUAGUUUUACAAAAUAAUUUUAAAAAAACAAUUUUCUACUUUUAUCCAUAAAUUUAAAACAUUGGGAUCCAUUUGUAAUUUCGAUUUCACCAUAAACUUAGUUAAAACAUACCAAUUUUUGCCCCAUGUUAUCUUUGACAAGAAGGGAUGUAAAAAUUUCCCUUAACUCACUAUUUUAAAUAUCAUAAUUUUUUUCACAAUUUUGAGUUUGGUCAGUGAAUAAUUUGUCCCUACUUUUUAUUUUUAGUAAUUGUUAAAACAAAAUUGUGAAAUUUUCAGCAGUGAUAGACAAGAUUCGAACCUAGAAUAUUUGGACUUUGAAGGGACAGAGUCAUUAUACCAAAGACAAAAUUUAAUAACAAUAAAACAUUAUUUAAUGUAUGUUGUAAUCUAAUACUUCAAAAUUAAUAUUAAAAUACAGAAAUCGAAAAUGUGGAAGGACAUGCUCCUUGACCCUUUGAUAUAUCAACCCCUCCUUUACAGCAAUGUGAAUUGUCAAGAAUGACAAUGGGACGAAGCAGGGUCGGAGAUGCACUCUCCCUCGUCUCUUCAUCAUUCUUCGUCCGAAGAUUGGGUUCCGAGAAGAGAAAAUUCCCACUUUUUAUUUUUUAAAUAUUUUUUAUUUACUAAGUUAAAUUUUAGUAUUUUGUAUUGAAAUUGUAAAUAUGCUAGGUAACAAAUUAGUAUUAUUAUUGUUUUAUUUAUCUAAAUUUACAAUUAAUACAUAACAUGUCAAUAUUUGUUACAAAAUAACUGUCUAAAACAUCCACUUCAAAGAUCUAAGGUGACAAAUGAUCCAAAUUUUAAAAGAAAAAAAAAAUGUGAAAAAAGGUCUCUGUUUUUCUUUUAUAAAUGAGAAUAUGAUACAAACUGUAACAAAUAUAAGAGUCUUCUUAGUUGUAAGUAUGAUACAGGUGAAUCACUACAUAAUGCAACAUAUCGAUGGCAUAUCUCAUGAAACCAACCAAAAUCUCCCAAUAAGUUAACAGAAGGCAUUGAGCAUUGGAAGUUCCGCAUUGAUGGCCCGGGUGCUUCAUCGAGCUCCUGAUAUGAUUCCAUUUGUUGUCUAAGAAGUCGCACAUGGAAGAAGAGAUGCAAAAGAAUGCAAAUUCCUUUUGUUGGAAUUUGGGAACUGAAGCUACAGCUACUGUUGUUGCUGUAGAGAUGCUUGGAUGAUAGACGUAAGUGAUGGAUGGAUUCGGGCUGUUCUUAGUGAGCGAGCUGCACUCCUUCCCUCGGUGUAUUCUUCUCCUAAUGGCCAUCUCGGUCGCACGUCAUACUGGGAACAAAAUGUAAACUUGAGAAGGAUCGAAAAACCAGAAAAUAAAAGGAGGAUACUGUCAUCAUAAACUAGAAUAUUCUACAGGCUCUUCAAAUCAUUUUGGACAACAUAAUUGUAUCCAUAACUUCAGAAGGGGCUGACGUCAAACUGACGCAAACGUUCUAACUCGAGACCAGCUCGCCUGACACCCCAUGGGCUUGUAUUAUUCUUUUUAUACGCUCAAAAGCAGAGGCAGAACCCAAACAUUUGAUAGCUUCAUCAACUAACUUGUUUCUAUUUAAUUCAAGGGGCAGAGGGAUUACAGAUGAGGGAUUAGAACCAUACCAUUGUAUCUUCAGGUUCAUCAGCUGGUGGAGGAGGAUCAAAUCUCCCUAUGCGAAAAUGCUCGAGGCCCGUCCAAGCCACCAUUACACCUUUGCCAACACAAUUAAAAGUAAAUGGGUUCCUAUGGCGUGAAACAAAUAUGAAUACCAUAUAGUGUAUGAAUUUAUUUAAAUAAGCUUGCACCAGGAAUGAUCAGCAAAGCCGUUGUAUAUUAAGAUUCUUCUGCAUAAGAAAUCGCUACUUUAUUUAGGAAAGCUCUAUAAUUCUCUCACAAACACAUCAACUAGCACACUUGGAGCUCAAAAAGAAAUCACGAGCAUCAAUUAUUUUCAAAUGAUAAUUGGUCAACCUACAGUUUGAUGUCUCAGGUUCAGGUUCUGAACUGUUUAUUAAUUUAGUAGACACAAACAUAUCCACAAUUUAACAUCAAGUUGAGCUAAAGAAAUUAUACCAUUAUCAGUGCAGAGACUGGGAGGAGGGCAGACAAGCUGCAGGCCCUUCUUCCUGACAACCGCCAUAAGUUGAGCCCUAACAUACUUAUUUGAUGCAACACCUCCUGAGACAACCUGCAUAGGCAGAACAUAAGAGAAUUCCUCACUUCAACUAUGUGUGCAGCUCACUGGCAAGAAAAUGUAAAUGUAAGAUGAAAGAAUCAUGAGAUAUAAAGGAACAAAAGAAGUUUUUCGUCUCAUUUUACCAAAUGUCUUAUGGAUGGUUCAAUCUUCAACGCCCAUUCAAUUGCUCGUUCACAUUUGUCCUCUAGAUGUAGCACUGCAACACGCUGCAAUGAAUUUCAAAUGGAUCAGUUGAUGUAACAAUAUAAAUUUAGUCCAUACAGUUACAGACUGAUGGAUACCUGAAAGGAGGCAGCUAUAUCAGCCCUUACACUUCUGUCUUGGAUGCUUGCAGACGACAGAGGAAUUUUUGUGUCACUGCACACGGCAUGUACAUUCAUCAAAUGACUCAGAAAAUAAAUUAAAACAGCAACUUUCAACCCAUCAAAAGUCUCUUCAAUAAGCUUCUCAGACAUAACCAUCAACCCAGUUCCUAGCAAUCAGACGAAACUGUAGAUAUGGAAACAAACUACGCAAGACAGAAAACCCAAUUGCUCAGAUAUUACAUGUGAAAUUAAAACCAUGGGUUAUUUAAAUUCCGAUAGAGAUAUCAAAACUUCAAAUCUAAUAGACCUUUAAUCUUGCAAUACAAUAAAUAUUAACUAUGCCUGACCCUUUUUUACAUAUAUGGAUUUUCAUUUUUCUGUAUAUUAUACUUGCUGGUGAUUUUGUUAUUAGAAAGGAUGAAUAAGAUAAUAAGAUAACAAAAAAAUAUUUAGAAAAUCAGUUUCCUUUAUAAAAAUUGUAAGUAUGCACAUUCCAGAUAAAUACACACAUGUUUCGGGAUUCAAUAGCCAGCCUGACUUGGGUCUUCAGCCCCGCAUAGGAGAAGUUGCAAUCUUUAUGUUGCUUCAUUGGAGUCUAAAGAAAGAAAUAUUUGAAGAACUUAAUGUACACUCUAACAUAGAAAUGUAUGGUUAUAAAAUGUUUCUCAUGUUUAUGCACCACCUACACGAUAAAAACAGGCAUAUGCAAUGACGAACAACAUAAUGAGUUUGAAGACUUACAGAAAACUUUAUUGACUUUGGAUCCCCCUCUCUGGCAAGCUCCUCUAUAGCCGGCCCACCACUCUUCCUCAGAUCAAGACCAAGCCAUUUGGCAGUCUUGUCAUACGCCUCCCCAAUGGCAUCGUCUAUUGUUGUUCCAAGUUGUAUGUAUUGGCCAAGAUCUUGUGCGAGAACAAGUAAAUUGUGUCCCCCUAGAAUGUAUGACAUUUAAUUUUUCAUUCUUUAAAAUCUUUGUCAAAACUCAAAAGCUCGAAUGCAAGCAACCGAAACCAUUUUGAGUCAUCCUAAUAACACGUUCAAGAGGACCCAAUAAUUAACUUCUCAAUGAAUAGCUAAUAGAAUAAACUGAUAUGAUGACACGGACAAAGUUUAACCCUAAAGCCAUGAAAAAGAUCCAGUUUUCCUUUUUCUCUCCAUCGUGGCUGAUUAAAAAUAAAGUAUGAGUUUGUCGUCUUUUUCAAGCGUCCCAUCCAUGAAUCAUUGAAAAUUACAGCACAAGUUCUAUUCAUGAAAAGUUGAAGUUCAACCCAGAUAGAAAAAUCAACAAUCAGAACCGUAGGCUCUGUUGCUAAAGAAUUGUGAAAAUAGUUCAAAUAAUGUGCUGAGAUGGUAAUGACAGAGCUCGACCAUUUAAAUUUAAUGCUAUCAAAAAAGAGAACUAAUCUUAACAACUAUGAAAAGAUAACCUCUUGCAAGCAUUUCAUAAUUGGAUUUGGAGAUGUAUAAAAUUAUAAAAGUCUCUAAAAUUUUGAAACUAAAAGUUGGAAACAAUCAAGUAGUUUAAAAAAUCACUCUGUAUCCUUUCUAUUUUUGACACAUCUAGACACAGGAAACGUAAACACAACUUGUAUCUAUGUAAUGAAGAUGAAGGAAGAAUGCAGGGGAAGGAAAAUAAGAAUACAAAUUUUUACCAGAAAUGAGCAGUGCCAUGAAAGGAAAUUGCAGUUCCCGUUCAACUAAUCUACAGAAUGAAGAAUAAUGUUUUAAUAAGAAGAGUAGAGUGUCCAACCAGAAAGUACAAACGAAAUCAAAUAUUCAUCCUCUAGUAAACACCAUCAAAUAGUUUCCUUUGAAAAAUCUUUCACAGAUUAACAAAUAUAAGCUGACCCAGAUGUAACUUGCAUUUUUAAUUUGUUAUACAUACCUAGCUACCAGAGCAUGAGCUUCCAUGUGAUGCACCCCAACAAUUGGUAGACUAGAGCUACCAGCAAUUUUUCGUGCCUUCUGCACUCCAACUGCAUUUCAAUUGCAUGGUGAAUGGGUCCGAAGGAUCUCCAAUUAAAAAUAAAUUUUCACUUGAAUAAUUAAAGAUAGAAAAAGAAGCCAAAUUGAUUGUGAACUUAUACGUAGUGUAGAGAACAGUGCGUCUUUCUAUAACUAAAAGCCUAAGAACAAUUUUCCUGUACACAUAAGCAUUAAAACAUAAAUCUAAACCUUUCUUUUUACAGAAAUCUACAGCUUAGGUGUCUGUUGAACAGUGACUGAUAACGAGAUAAAACAACGGCUUUCAAUUAGCGGAAAGAUGUCCACAUAGUAGACAGAGUACAACUUAGGACUUAAACCAUAAGGAGGGAUCCUGCAAAAUUACCACGGAGGCAGAGGCUCAAACCAGGGCCAAUGGUCACAGCAACUGCAGAUAAAUCCCUUUCUGUUAAGUUAGCCUUUUCCAUUGUUUCCUGCACCACCUGAAGUUGACAGACGAAAAAUAACCGAAGCCAAUGUAAGAGUGGAUGAAAAGGAUGCUGAAAUUGGAGUAUUUAGUAUACCUUGCAAUCAUAACCUUGUCAAUCACUUGUGCGUGCGCUUCUUCUGCCAUUUUAGGAGCAACGCCUCCAUAGCGAGCAAGCAGCUCUGCCUUGAUGUGGCAUUAUAAAUUUAGACCAAAAAGUUGAAUUCUUAACCAAAUUCUAAAAGCAACAAAAGUUCUUAAAAAUUACUUCUUUUUUUUUUUUUCCGGAAACAUUGGUAAUGAAUAGAUAACAAACACAAGGGGUAGUUACAGGCUUGAUUUUCAAAAACUGAAAACCAAAGAAGUUGGUUAUUACAUUUUUGUAAGUUGUAUAUUUAGUCUAACUUUCUGAACAGAUAUUAACCAACGCGUUUCAACACAAACUCGAACCUCGUCCCGCUGACUAACGUAUAAUGAAACCUAACAUUACAAAUGUGCAAGAAAUCCUGGGAAUAAAGAGAAAUUCAUUGGUUUUAGCUUAAAGACAAAAACCUGAGAAGCUAUAACUUGGCUAAGGAUUUCGCCAUUGCCCUUCACCUAAAAUCGUCAAUUAAAAAAAAAAAAAAAAACCAAAAUUAACAUCAACAAACAGUAAAAAAACACUCGCUCGAAAGCACGUGAAUUAAAAGCAAUGUGACUCGAGCUUACAAUGGCAGCGGCGGUAUCAUCGCAGCUCGUUUCAAUGCCGAGAACAAUCAAAUCAUCGUCUUGUGGCCUUGAAAUCUGAGUGUGAAAUCCAGCAGAGCUUGUGAUUUUCAAAGCAGAAAAUCGGGGAGUUGAAGCAUUAGAUGAGAGACCUGGUCCAAUCCAAUCGGUUCGUAAUAACUUGUGGAAGUGCAAAACUUUGAAGGUAGUAAGCGCGUAAGGAAGUGAAGGUUUUGGGAUAAGGUUUAAGCGGGAAAGUGUGGAAGAAAACGCCAUUCCCACGGAGCAGCAGCAGCGAUGCUGAAGGGCCUCAAUGGUGGAUGAAGACAUGUAUUCAAUUUCUAUUUUUAUGUUUUAUUUUUUAAUUUAUUUUAAUUAUAAAAUUUGGACAAAUCACAAAUAGUGAUGUCAUUUCUAAAAAUAAAAAUAUGAUGUUUCAAAUUAAAAUUGAAAAAAAAUAUAUUGUUUGAUGGAUUUUUAGUAUUUUGAUCCUGACUAUUAGAUUAAAUUAAAUAUUAUUAUUUAAACGAUAAACACUAAAAAUUGACUUAAUUUAGCUUAAAUGUUAUAUAAAAUUUUAAUACAACUUAUUGAGUUUAUAAGCUAUGUUUAUAGAUAAACAAAUCAAAACACAUAAAACUCACUUGAUAACUCGAGAAGGUUUUACUCAAAAACAAGUUUGUGGAUCAUAAAAUACUAUAGAACUUAUUUAAUUGUUUACAAAAAUUGUCGAAUCAAAUCCCGAACCCAACGUUCAAACGAAAUAAACUUCUUUAUCUUAUUCUUUGAUGUCUGUUUCUAUCUCAUUCAUCUUGCUUUAUUGACUUGAAUUUUUUUUCAUUAACAUCUCCUUCAAGUUUGUUUCCUUUAUUCCAAAUGCAUCAAAUAUGCAAUUUUCUUCUUUUGCUUUUCCCCUUUUGUCCUCCAUCUCUCACUUUUUGGACGAAGAAGCAUCUUGUUUGAGGGUGAACAUUACAAGAAGAUGUAUCAUACAAUUUCAACAAGUAUUUAAAUUGAGUUAUUUAAUGUUAAAAUUGAUCCAAGUAAAUCUUAAAUUUUGCUACGAGUAAAUCAAUUCAAUUGCUUAACUUACAUUUCAACCUAUCAAAAGAGAAGAGGUUGGAUUUCAAAUCACCAAAGUAGAGAAAAAAAUCUUUAAAUUUCGAAUAAAUCUAACAAACCAUAUUCCAUGCUAAAGUAUUGAACUUUCACCAAUGCGUAGGCGCGGGUAAAACGAACCGAACCAACUCCAAAUUUUUGCUGGAAGGAUCAUGACAAACAUGAAGCUUACUUCAAAUUUCAGGAGAAAGAUGCACAAAUUUUAGUCCACAGAGAACGAUGCCUUCGUUGCUUCCUUCUGCAAGGUUCUUCAACUUCUGGAACCCACCUGCCCCUCCCAUUUCCCUUUUUUCUCUUUCCCCUUCCUCUUCAACCACAGUCUCACUUCACAGUCACAGAAUCCUCUCAUUAUCCGCCAUGGCUAUGUCCUUCUCUUCUUCCACUUCCACUCCCAAAACCCACCUCGAACAAGACGAUCAAAACCUCUCACAAGUACUCAAAUACCACUCCCAAACCAAACAUGGCUUCUCCAACUACGCCAGAGGCCCCCAUGGCCUCGAUUGGGCCAAUCAGCCCAACCCCUUCCGCCGCUACAUCUCUGCUCCUCUUCUUCCUCUUUCCCAUUUCCCAAUUCUCAACCAAACCGCCGCAUCUGAUGAUGAAACCCAUGAAGCUUCUCUGUAUGAUUCUCUGUUCGUCUCGUUGCCUCCUCCAAAACCCGUCUGUAAAGCUACAAUUUCUCAAUUCUUCUAUGAUUCUUUGGCUCUUUCUGCUUGGAAAUCUACUGGGUUUUCGACAUGGUCGCUGAGAGUUAAUCCCAGUAGCGGGAAUUUGCAUCCAACUGAAGCGUAUUUGAUUGCUCCGCCUGUAACCUCGCUCUCGGAUUAUGGUUUUGUUGCGCAUUAUGCUCCUAAAGAGCACGCUUUGGAGAUUAGAACUCAAAUCCCACCUGGGUUUUUCUCUAAAUUCUUCCCUGAGAACAGUUUUCUUAUUGGGUUGUCGUCGAUUUUCUGGCGGGAAGCUUGGAAGUACGGCGAGCGAGCGUUUCGGUAUUGUAAUCAUGAUGUCGGUCACGCCAUUGCGGCGGUUGCCAUGGCUGCCGCAGGACUUGGGUGGGAUGUGAAGGUUCUUGAUGGACUGGGUUAUGCUGAUUUGAAGAAGCUCAUGGGGCUACACACUUUUCCUGAGUUUGAAAUUCCGUCGCAGCCGGUGAAGGGUUCGUUUCCGGUGAUUGAAUUCGAGCAUCCUGAUUGUGUGCUUGCUGUUUUCCCUUCUGGCACUGCUGACUUUUCCAUGAAUUAUGAGGAAUUAAGCUCUGCAGUAUUGAAAUUCAGUGAGUUAGACUGGAAAGGAAAGCCGAAUUUGCUCAGCAAACAGCACAUUUGCUGGGACAUAAUUUACAGAACGGCCAUGGCCGUUGAGAAGCCACUAACAGGGGAAAGUGGAUCUUUAGUUGAGCCAUUUCAGAGCAGUGGGGUUCUUGGUGAACGUCCAUACAAGGGCUUUACUUGGAGGGAAGUUGUGAGGAAGCGCAGGAGCGCAGUGGACAUGGAUGGUGUUACAACAAUGGCGAGAGAUACAUUUUAUCAGAUUCUACUCCAUUGUGUGCCUUCAGGUUCUAUAGAAGGGGAGAGGCAAAGGAGAGAAUUGGCACUGCCGUUUCGUGCACUUCCAUGGGACGCUGAAGUUCAUGCUGCUCUGUUCGUUCAUAGAGUGGUGGGCUUGCCACAGGGUUUGUACUUUUUGGUGAGAAACGAAGAUCAUUUCGAUGAGCUGAAGAAAGCAACCAAUCCAGAUUUCAAGUGGGUGAAACCUGAUGGUUGUCCCAGCAGUCUCCCUCUGUAUGAACUACGGAGAGGCAAUUAUCAGACACUUUCCAAGCGACUGUCAUGUCAUCAGGUUGGUUUAUCUUCAUUUCCAUUGCCUAUUUAGUGAAUGUUUUUGCCAGUUUUGUUGAGACGUAGUAUGCAUUCAACGUCUACCUGAACUAAACUUCUUACAAAAAUUGUCGAGCCAUGUUGAAAAAGCCCUGUUGGUUCCCUAAUAGGUUGUACCUGACAUACACAUAAAGAGAAACUAUCAAUUUCACAUGAGAUAAUACUCGUGUCUUGAGUCCACCGGUAGAUUUGCUAGAUAGAUAUCUGGACAAGCAACUAAUCAAAAUAAAUUUUCGAUAGUGGACAACCAAACUCAAUAAUAUCUGUACAACUUAAAUUAUGGGUACAGACUGUCACCUCACUAGCCGCAGCAAGCGGUUGCGCAACUGUUGAAUUUUCAUUCUAUGUUUCCUGCACCAUCCUAGUCUUAAACUCUUAAGUGGUCAUUCCAGUACCCUUCUGAAUAUUCUUUGCUAGUUAGGAAGUAUGCUUGCAGAUGUAGAUGGAAUAUUCCUGUCCAACCACCUAUUUAAUGAUGAGAUUCAAAAAAUUUAACCCAAGUAUGGAAUAUUGCAGCUGGAGACGUUAUUAGUUAUGGUAAUCUACGUUGCUUUUGCUACAGAAACCUGGUUUUUUCCUUCAUUUUGGAUAUUUCCACCUUCACAAUGUAACCAAAUUGUCGUCAUUUUGUAUGUUGCUUAUUUUAGCUGUCACAUUAUUUUGUUUGAAAAAUUCUUUGUCUAAGAACAUACACACCAGGUCAGUUACAAUGAACAUUAUUGUGGCACACUAAUGCAUCGAUAAACAAAUCAUUGUCAACUUAAUUUUGUCUUUAUAGUUUAGCUAGAUAUGAUCCUUUUCCAUACAGGACAUUGCCAGUGAUGGGUGUUUCAGCUUGGGAAUGAUUGCUCACUACGAGCCUACGUUACGUGAAAAAGGGGUUCACAUGUAUCCUCGACUCUUCUGGGAGACUGGAGUUAUUGGGCAGGUGUUGUACCUUGAAGCGCAUGCUGUCGAUAUAUCUGCAACUGGAAUUGGUUGCUUCUUUGAUGAUCCCGGUAAGAUAAAUGUUGUAAUUCUACUGACAUGCUGAAAUUUAUCAUUCUUGUACAUUUACGAAAUUGGAAACAUAUAUGCAUAGUACAGUAACAAGUAGUUCAAAUAUAAUAACAGAUUGAAGAGAUGGAGUAUGAUAACAGAUUGGAGGGAUCAGGAUAAGAUAAAUAAAGACACAUCUUUUCCUGAUUUUAUUUCUGUUGUUUAUCUUGACACGCCAUAUGCCAUGGAUUAGAGCCAAACUUGCGGUGGUUAAGGAUUCAUCAAUUGACAUGAAUUGCUAUACAUUGUUGUGACUGGAGGGUCCUUUCCUGCUUUACACUAUUCUAGCAUGCAAUUUGUGUAGGAAUACUAGUCCAGAAGGCAAAAACCAGUUGGUUGACACCCAAAAAGACAGUCAUAGAAUAGUAAUCAUAGACUAUGCUAUAAAGUAAGACUGAAAAAAGUGAGAUGGUGGGUUACAGCGUAAGUUGAGAAUAGGAAAAACAUGAAGCACAAGCACAAACAUUUAAUCCAAAGCUAAAAUGAUGGGGGGGAGGGGGCGCAUUUAGAUGAAGCUCCAAGAACUUGAACAGGCUCUAAGUCUUUCAGGCAUCAACUUGGCCGAGAGAAAUUUACUGCUUCCAUAGAUAAUAAUUUUAGUGAUAUCAAGUUAUUUAGACCCAUAGGCGAUGUACUAUGAUGAAUACCUUUCAAACUUCUGACAUCGUGUCUUGUGAAAAGUUGAUAAGUGUAUGUUAUGCACUCAUUCCUCAAUCCCUCCUCUAUUUUCUUUGUUUUGCAGUACAUGAAGCGCUUGGGUUGAAAGGAUCAAACUUCCAGAGUCUAUAUCAUUUCACUGUGGGAGGUCCUGUCUUGGACAAACGAAUAAUGAGCCUACCAGCGUAUCCUGGCCCCAACGUGGAUUCUUAGACUGCAAGGUUAUUCUCUAUCAUUGUAUAAUAUCUCAAGGCCUAGGCUUCCGUCCUCAUAAGCAGAGUCAUUUCACAAAAGGGAAAGCUAUUUGCUUCUUCCGAUAAUAAAAGCAAACUACUUCUGCAGAUAACUAAUAUUCCCCAUUAUUCUAGGUUAGGAUGAGGUGUAAAGAUUUAAAUAAUGGUCAAUCUAGAAAAUCACUUGAUCAGGAGCUGCUUCAUUCUACUGUAGAUUCUUGUCUUCCAUCGACAUGAGUGCCAUUGUUUCUGAUAAUGUAGAAACUUAUUUCACACACAAAUACACUCCUUAGAAGUUGGAUCAUAUGUGCUCUACUUUUCCUUCCAAGUAUAUAUCAAAUGUAUUUUAUUAUAAGAAACCUUUCACAAGUUGCCAUAUUUGAAGUCAUUCGUGCAUUUAUUCUAUAAGGAUCCGUUCAGUGUAGUUUUCAAAUAUUUUUUUAAUAACAAGCCUAUUCCUUAAUGAUAAAAGUUUUUAUAUAGGAGAGAACCAAGAAAUCUCCUUAAUUUACAAUGGAAAAAAAAAAUACAGAAAAAACUCCCCAGUUCACCACAAAACUCCUUGGAAAAGAUAUGGCAGGAGACUGCCAGAAAAAGAAUAAAGCCUGGCGGUGAGUUAAAAGCCAAAACCAUUGGUUCUUUUAUUAAUUCUUAAAGUAAUUGGUACAAGAAGGGAGUCUUACCUUUAAUCAUACUGGUUAGGUUGUAGGAUAAUGGGCUUAAGUUACACAAAUACUUCCAAGAGUAAGUAAUCUACCCUCCUCCUCCUCCUAACCAAUGACCUAACGAAUAUACAUUACUACGAUUCCCAUUAAUAUUCCUACGUCAGGGAGGGGAGCCAUAUCAAUGUACAUUUAGGUUGGCACUUAGGCUAUGUGUGGGUGGAAGGGCUUGGUCACAAAAAGGUUACUACCCUACCAACUAAUACUUAAAACUAAACAAAAUAAAACCAAGUUAAUUACAGUCAUACCUGGAAAUGAUCCUACAUCAAGAUCCCACCUGUCCACCUCUUUAUAAAUUCUAAAUUUGUCUGGGAAGCACUCCUCUAAAUUCCGUUUUGCCCAAACGGGAAAAUAAGGAAUGAGACAAGUUGCUCCGUUAAAGGAACUUUCGUUUAUCCACUGGGGCUCACUGAGCACUUUACUUUUCUUUAUAGCUUGUUCUGAUAAAUGUGUCAUUAGGAGAAUCCCACAUCUGAAGAGGAGAGUCCAAUCUAUUACCAUCUGAACCGCUGUAAUCAGACCAUCCCUUCAUGUAUGAUAAACAUGUGCAGUUGAUCGUUUCUUUUAAGAUGUUUCCUGCAUUACAUCUGAAGCCAGGACAACAUAGUGAUGGCUUAAGUUGUUGCUAUUUUUUUUGUAGUACAAAAUAGAGAACACAUAAACAGAUUUGAUAGGUACAUAAAUGUCAGUAGAAUGCUACUUCACUUCAUUGAAGAAUAAAAGUGAUUUGGUCUCCUGUCUGCAUAAUUAAAGACAAUUUUAAAUGUUCCGUUCUUGACCAUCAUGAAUAGUAAAGUACUACUGUUAUUGGUUAUAAAUUAUCAAUCCAUUGUAAGAUGCCUAUUCUGAGGUGAACUAUCCAAUAUGAAUUAAUAAUCCCACCAUAUAGAUUUUGAUUAGACUGCUUGGCUUCUUCUUCUUGGUUCUCAUUUAAUUUUAUUUUAUUUCACCCUAAUUGUGGUAUGUUUGUGACUUCUGAAGGCCUAGAAAGACUAGCAUGCUAAAAUUAAUUGUAGAUGUUUUUUCCCUCUCCCACGGAGAAUAAACUUCAAUGAUCUUAAGAGGCCAUCUUGAAUCAAGCUUUGAGAACUUUCAAAAAACACACUCCAACUUCUUUCAAGAUCGAAACCAAGCAUUCUACUGCCUGAGACAAGACAAAAUGGUUGAUGCAUUAUGUUAGUAAUGCAAGUACGUCCUUCUUUUCAAUAUAUUAAAUUUGUAUUGCCACUUUCUGAAUCUUUACUAUCUCCAUUAUUAUGAUGCAGUAACAUCAUUUUGAGUUUCAUAGAAACCCAAGUCAUUGGAGAAGGGGGAUGAAGAAUCCGGCCAAGCCAAGAAAUUAAAAAGGACACUCUUGAAGAGAGUGAUCACAAUAGUCUUCACAAAGAAUACACUCAAACGGUAAGAACGGAGUCAUCCCUAAAUAAUCUCUCAAUAUACUUCCUCCAAUGGAAAAUUUUCUGCCUGAGUGUCAAAAUUUCCAGGAAAAAAGGACAAAGACAGUACUAUUUCACAGAAUCCUAGCUCGAUUUUUAAAAUGCAAAACUCAGCUUGUAUUGUAAGUUGACUCUCAUCUCAUGAUUCAUAUAUUUUCUGUAUAGAUCUUUCCUACAUACUAGACAUUAUUUCUCUACUUAUGACUUAUAAUUCUCUUGAUGAUGGCACUCUUCAAAAUUCAUCAUUAUGUUUUCGCUUGUAUUCUACUGCAAGUUCUACUUUUCCAUCCGCCACAAGAAAGCUUCUUCGUGGGAUUUCGCUAAUUAUUACCAUUAAAAACUCAUAUUUCUCUACGGAUGGAGCAGAACAAUUAAUCAAAAUUCAACUAAGACGUAAGGUUCGGAAGUAAACGAAUUAAGAAAGAGAAAAUUUGGGCAACUCCCUAUACAUUUGGAGCAUUUGUUCUUGGAGUGUGUUCUUCUACUUCCGCCAUGGCGGGCGAUUCUUUCCUCCAGCCAACGCUGGCGGAGCUUCCAUUCUUCUUGGACUCCAUAUUCUCCAUAGUCCCAAAACCAAAAGAUUCUUUCUUAAUCGUUUACAUAACUUUUAGUGUUAGAAAUUCUAAAUUUAGCGGAUAAAUAAAUGUUGAAUAAAUAAAGAUGCAUUAAUUAAUGAUCAAAAUAAUUACUAUACGUAAUCCUAACUUUAAAGUAAAGUUCAAAUCUCUAAUUGUAUAUUAUACGAAUUUAGUCUAAAAUGUAACUCAAUUACAUCCUAUUUGUUCCAACUAAAUAAAAACUUUGAAUUUACUCUUCCAUUCUUCUAAAUUUUUUAAACACUAUUUUCAUCCACAAAUUUAGAUAUUUUAAUUUUAUUUAUAAAAAAAAACAUCAAUCCGAAAUCCGAUUCUAAAUAAACUUUGUAGUUGAAUACAACUGUUUCUUUUCGACCGCUUUACAUUAAUCUUCCUUUUGUGUCGUAAAUGGAUUUCUAACUUCAAGUAUGGUUAGGAGUUGGAUGAUUUUUUUUCGAUGUUAAUUCUAAACUUUUUUAGAUCUCAAAUAAACAUGUCACUAGCUUACUGAUUACUUAAAUUAUUUCAAAUCUUACUUUUGAAGGUUAGAAACAAAUACCAAUUUAAGAAAUGUUGAUGAUUCUGUUUUCUUUUAUAAAAUGUUAACUAUAUAUAUAUAUAUUAUAAUUGAAAUUCAAAAUGUCCAUGUGAUCUUAGAUGGGAAUAAUUUUCUUCCAUACAUAUUUUAUUUGUCUUCUCUGACAUUUCUAGUUAGACAUUGUAAAUAGAGAUGAGAUGUUAACAAAUAAAAUAUAAGAAAGCAUAUGGUAUUUUUUUAAUAAUAAUAAAAGGCAUGUGGUAAUAAUGAUGAAUAGUUUUGAAAAUGUAACCCAAAGGACUCUAUGGUAAAUAACAAAUAAUCAAAGUUUGUUUCAUGUAAAAUUCAACAUGUAAGGUACCAACUCAUGAAGGGAUCUCUCCUUUUUAGACCAACCAACAUGGGAGGUGAAUUUUUUUUUAAAUUAAAUAUCUAUGUUAAGCGUUUUACGCCUUUGAGUCCUAUGACGACGGUGGAAGAUCCAACUUUCAACCUCUAGAGAGGAAGAUCGUUCCAAUUAUGUAACAGUUCAUUUUCUUUGCAACAUGGGUAAUCUAUAUUUUUUCUUGUUUAAGCAAUUGUUACGAUUCCAAAUCUAUUUAUCUUUUAAAUUUUUACAAUAUUGGUAGUGAUAGGUAUCAACAAAUAAUUAUAAAUGUCCAACAUAGUCUAAUAUUACUAUUUAAAUCAAAUUUUCUUCGAAUAACAACAUUAAAUUAAUUUUUUGGACAUUUUCAAAUAUAAUGAAAUAAACUAAAAUAUUUAUAUAACAAAAUUUUGGAUUAUAUCAGUGAUAGACAUUGAUAAACUCACUGAUAAAAACAUAUUAAUGUUUAUUAGAAUAUAAAAUUUUGUUAUAUUUUAUAAAUAUUUUUUAAAAUUUGUCAUUUUUUACACUUUUUAAAGAAAAAUUAUAUCAGAUGACAAAAACAAUUAGAAAAAAACCGUUCAUAUACAUACAUUUUGCAUUAGACGACUAUUAAAUUUUAAAUUUACUAUUUUUCUAAUUUAAAAAAUGGAAUGACAUCGAUUUUAUUGUAAAAAAAAUAUUUAUUUUUUUUUCCAUUUUUGUAAGCUCCACGAAAAAUUGAUUAGUAAUUUAAAAAAGAAAAACUAAUUGUUUUGGGAUAUUAAAAAUUUGUGACGCGUUAUGAGUGGAAAGAGAAUUUUUAGAAGUUCUCGAAAAGAAGACAAAGCUAAAAGACGAAAAUAUCCUUCAUCGUUGCCUUUCUUUCUUUCCUUUUUCUUUACCAAGCGGAAGGGCACAAAAAGGGAGACCUUUCACCCUCCGCCUGCUUCCUCCUUUCAAUUCUUCACAUUUUCCUUAACUUUCCGGCGACUUUUCCGGCCACUCCAAACUCUGUAAGCCUUUUUUUCUUUACUCUCCACCUCUCGAAACUCUUCUGCCUCAUCGCUGCAUGGAGUUCCCCAUCUUCUAUUUUUACUUUGCUUUUCUUUGAUGUGUUUGAUUCAACUGUUAAGUUGAAUUCAUGAGUCUCUUGAGAUUUAGGGUUUUUCGAAGUCGUUUGAAAUGUUGAAUUUUGUUCUCUGUUCUUGUUCCUAUGUUCUGCAGGGCUAAUGAAUUAGUUAUAUAUUUGGUUUCCGAAAGAUUGGUGGUAAUGCUAAUUCUGGGUUAGUUUGUGUAAUGAUUGAUUGGGAACUGGAAAUUUUAGCUCAAAUGUCAAACUUCACAGUUUCAGGAAAUAUGCUUUGAGGUUUGUUUUACCCGUGGGAGAUAUCGUAUGUCAUAGGAGAUCUACACUAUUAUUCACUAGAUCAGUGAGAAUGUAUAUGCUACAAUUACAUUUUCUGAACUUCUACUUUGGAAAUGUAUGGAAAGAAGAGGCUUUGGGAGCUGAUUGCGGCACUGGGACAAUCAAGCAAUUGUGCUAACUUUUUCACCACAACCCAGUUUACUUUUCUCCUCUUGCAAAGGAAAUUUUGUGAAAUAGAUGAUCAAGCCAUUACACUAUUUGUCUGUUAAGAGUUUAUUUUGGGUCCUUGUCUGUACUAUUUAAUGGUCUAGUGAAUAUCUUGGGAACUGGUAUGAUUAAGCGAAUUGGGGUUAAUAUGGCAAGGAACCAACCUUGCAAACGUGAAUGUUUGCUAAUGUUGCUUCUUGUUGCUUUCAACCUUUUUCCUUGACAUGAUACAGAUCUCCGUUUCACCUCUGAUCAAAAGGCUUGAUUUAAGAUUGUCAUUAAUUGCUAUAUGACCAACUGAAUCGAUCGGUUUAUUAAGGAAUAUGCUCUAAUACUAUUUAUUCUGGAACUCACCAUAAAAUGCAUCCUGAUUCUCACAUAUGAAUCAGAAGAUUUUUCUUCCUCAUAAUGAUUUCUCUGCUUCUGUAUGUAGGUGGAAGCUUAUUGUGUUUGCCGGAGUACCCAAAUGAUGCCAAUUCUGUAGGUAGGUUGAUCAUGCCCUUCUUUUCUUUCCAAUAUUCAUGCAAGUUUCCUUAUUGUGUAAAAAGUUAAAUCAGCAGGUCGGAUGUGGCUGAGAAAGGUGCUUUAUGACUUUUACUAUUGGUCUCUAACAUUUCUAAAACUCCCAUGGUACAGUAGGCAUAUAAAGCGAUGGUUUACUGAUGUAGCAUUUUAUGAAACCUUAAUGUAUGAUUUAGCAUAUGCGUAGCACAUAAAAUGUAGGCUGCACUGUUUUUGAGACAUCUUCAAGAAGGGACAAAAUAUUUUUAUUUCUUGCUCGAAGUUCUUUCAUCACAGUGCGGAUACAAAAAAAAAAUUCAUCUACACCUCCAGGAAACACAAGUAUUCUUAUGUUCAUUCUAUCUGGACCUCCCUGUUAUUUCCCAGUAGAUGUCAUGUACACUGCUUUGGAGAUUGCAGGUGGAUGAUAUUGGUGCUCUAUUUGAAGGAAGUUUAUUGUAUUCCCAUUUUCAGAAGUAGCUAUGCUAUUGACUGAAGCAAAAGAUAACCAACUCCGUGAGAGCAAUAACCAGAAGGUUCACCCACAACCCAUGGAAGAGGCAAUGAACCAGAAACCCGAAGCUAUGGAAGCCCUUAUAUCAAAGCUUUUUGUCAACAUCUCUUCUCUUAAGUCUGCUUAUAUCCAGCUCCAAGGUGCUCAUACACCCUAUGAUCCUGAAAAAAUUCAAGCCGCAGACAAACUUGUAAUUUCUGAGCUGAAGAAACUAUCUGAGCUCAAACACUUUUAUCGAGAAAACAACCCCAAACCAGUAUGUGUUUCACCACAGGACUCACGGCUAGCUGCGGAGAUUCAAGAACAACAAAGCCUUCUGAAAACCUAUGAGGUUAUGGUCAAGAAAUUUCAGUCUGAAAUUCAGAACAAAGAUUCUGAGAUUCUUCAGUUGCAGCAGCAGAUUGAAGAGGCAAACCAGAAGAAAGUAAAACUCGAAAAGAACCUCAAGCUUCGAGGGCUAUCAAUGAAAGAAUCAGAAGGUUCUGCAGAUGAAAGCGGAAAUUUCCAUGUGGACUUGACCCCUGAUCUGUUUAUAUCAGUCGUGGAAGGCGCUUUUAAGGCCAUUCAUGAUUUUUCCAAGCCUUUGAUUAACAUGAUGAAAGCAGCUGGCUGGGACCUGGAUGCUGCUGCUAACUCAGUUGAACCGAACGUGGUCUAUGCAAAAAGAGCUCACAAGAAAUAUGCAUUUGAGUCCCACAUAUGCCAGAGAAUGUUUUGUGGCUUUCAGCAUGAAACUUUCUCAAUCAAAGUAGACGAUGUUGCACUCACAAAAGAGGAUUUCUUCCGGCAAUUUAUUUCAUUGAAGGACAUGGAUCCAUUAGACAUGCUAGGCCAAAACCCAGAUUCCAUUUUUGGUAAAUUUUGUAGAAGCAAAUACCUACUAGUGGUUCACCCAAAGAUGGAGGCCUCAUUCUUUGGAAAUUUAGAUCAGAGAAAUCAUGUGGCAGGUGGUGGACAUCCUAGAACCCCUUUCUACCAAGUUUUUCUUAAAUUGGCGAAGGCAAUCUGGCUCCUACACAGGUUGGCUUAUUCUUUUGAUCCAAGUGUAAAGGUAUUUCAGGUUAAAAGAGGGAACGAAUUCUCCGACGUAUAUAUGGAUAGCGUGGUAAAGAAUUUGAUUAUAGACGAAAGCGACCUGAAACCAAAAGUUGGCCUGAUGGUCAUGCCAGGUUUCCUGAUCGGAGGAACGAUAAUUCAGAGUCGAGUCUAUCUCUCAGGUGUCAAGGUGGCUGAAUAAACAAACAUGUCGAGCAAGUCGUGCAUCAAACUGAAAAGAAUUUAGGCCUUUAUGUAUUUGUUUAAUACAGAUUUUCUCUGUUUGUUGUAAUAUAUAGGGCUUCAAUUUUUCUGUUCUCUUGUUGUUGGGUUGUCUGGUGAAAAGAACUCUUAGUCAGCUUUGUCCCUCUCCCUCAAGGUUUCUACCUGCUUGUAUUAUGUAAUGUAUUCGUGCUAAAAAAAACAGAAAAAUUUAAAUUUACUAGGCUAUGUUCAAAAUAGCUUUGAAUUUUAUGUUUGGUUUCAAAUUUAUCAACAACGUUCCCAUAAAACAACAGAUUAGAACUUCCUAUAUUUUCUGGAUUUAGACAUAGUACGUGCAAUCCAUAGGAAAGACACAAUCGAAUAUAAAUAGAUAAAAGAUAAUAAGAGCAAAUAUUAAAAAUAUCCAAAUAGAAAAUUCCAAGUCUUCAUGAACAUGUAAUAUCAUGAUGAAAACUAACAAUAUUUACGAUAUUGAAUGUUAGCUAUGAGAAGAUAGAACACUUUUAAAGAAUAACAAUGUCCUUACAUUAAUUAUCAAAAUUAACAUAACUCAAAUACUUUUACACUAUUAACCUUAACAUCAAACCGAUGCCCUCAUCUCAAACGUAUUUCUGAAAGAAAAAAGCUUAAAUACUUUUUAAAGUAAUUGUAGAAUGUAAAGAACAACUUCCGUUGUAGUCUAGUUGGUUAGGAUACUCGGCUCUCACCCGAGAGACCCGGGUUCAAGUCCCGGCAACGGAAUUAUUUUUUUCCAUUUGAAAAAUAAAGAAGACGACGUCGUUUUCAAGCUGUAAAGAAAUAAAACCGUAUACGAAAAAUAAGUUUGAUUCUAAUUUAAAAUUUGAAUUUGUGGAUUUGAAAAUGCAAUAAUAUACUCAAAUUUGCAAUUUUUGAAAACAGAAUCUAAAAAGAAAAUAAAUCACGGACGAAGGGAGACUAUAUUUCCUAUCUAAUAUGGUGGGCAGCCAAAAUUUAUUGUUUAUGUCAAUAACCAUUUUUAAAAAGCUUUGUAUAUGUUACCUUACUACAAGUUUGAGAAAAAAAAUAAGAAAAUUAUUUUAAAUAAAAAAAACCUUUGAAAAUAUUUAAAAAUAUAGUCAAACAUUAUAAUCUAUAUCAUAAAUCACGAUAAUUGAAAUCUAUAUCAUAAAUCAUGAUAAUUGAGAUAGAGUAUUUGACUUAUCGUAGAUAAACGAUGAUAUUAUAUUAUAUUUUAUAAAUAUUUUAUUUCAUUUUACUGUAUUUAAAAGUGGUCUUAAAAUCUACCUUUUUAGUUUUCGAACUUUAAUAAAUAAGUACAUUCGAUUUUUAAAUAUUUAAAAUAUAUCUAGAUAGAGUUUAAAAAAAAGAUACAUUUAGUUCAAAAGUUACGAUUUUAAUCCAAAGUUUUUAAAAAUUAGCUAAAAGAAUUCUCUAAUUACGAACAAUAGUCCAUCAAAAUGCUUACAAAAUAUAACAAAAUUUUAUAUCUCAUUACUUUAACAUUGAUAAAUUAUAAUUUAAAAUUUUAGUAAAUUUGAAAAUAUUUAAACUUACACUAAUUUCUAUUUUAGAUUUCUCCUCUAAAAUUAUUUAUUUUGAAGACAAGGACCAAAUCCUCCCCCAUAAUAAGGUAGUUCUAAUUCUUCCUAAAUGUUUUUAUACAAAUCUUUGAACAAUUUUCAAACUCAUACUGAACAGAUUAUGAAUAAUUAAAAGCAUCUAUAUAUGUAGAUCUCAAAAGAAAAUAGAACUUCAGAAUCAAACAGUCAACAUUACAAACAAAGUUGAACUUCGAAGUUAGUGUGUGGUAUGUAGAAGAUAAUUGGGGGGUGGUGCUUGAUGGGCAUUAAAAUUAUCAACUUGACUUCAUCAUCCUCAACCGCAACCUCAACUCACUAAUAUAAAUUAAACACAAAUUAGUUCAAGAAUAUUACAUCGAUUUGGCAUUAUUGUGUUCUGUUUCCAAGCUUCUGAGAAAUGUGUGAAAUGAGAAUUUUAGUGUUUCUGAAUCUGAGGCCAAAAAUGGGGUGCUUCAAGAUUAUGAUUUUCUUGCAUUUGUUUCCUUUUUGAUUGUUGAUUGUAUCAGUUCAGCCAUGGAAAGACCUUAGGAGAUGUCGGAAGCCGAGCUGUGAGGACUUCAACUCCAGUUUCUGUUACCUGCAUGACACAAAAUUAGACAACAUUUUACAUUAGAGGUCCAAGCUAGAAAAAUAAAAGAUUGACAAAACUGACAAAACCAUGUCGGUUAGAAGUGUAUUUGUUGGUCAGUUUGGAAACUAGUCCGUUAGUUUAGUUUGAAUUGAUUCUAAUUGUUCUAGGCAACUUGAAAACGUUCUAACUGACCUACUGACACACUACACAUCACUUUACUGCCUAUUAGGUGGUGUUUUGGCCCACCAACUUCAUAAAUUGAUGUUAAAUAACUCAACUCCACCUCCAACCGUGUUCACUUUUGACGUUUACGUGCUUAUCAAAGAGAUGCAUCUAUCCCUCUUUCUCUCUUCCCACCUUGAAUAUUUCCUACCUCUAAGAUUAAACAACUCUCCACCCCAAACAUAAACUUUCUAACUCUAAACUUUAGAAUUCAACUCAACACUCAAACACCCCUUGAAAAAUGAAGAGAUUGAAAAAAAACGGUUCCUAAAGGUAUAGAACCUAACAAAGAUAGCCUUGUGGAUGUGCUUUACAACAAACAGUUCUCCAGUGUUUUCUCCGUGACCAUGCUAAUUUCCUUCAGAAAAUAAUGCGUACCAUGCUACUAAUUACACCAAGUCCGGGGGAUACAGUUAUUUCAAAAGAGGUUACAAAAACGCCUUCUAGUUAGGCAUGAGUUGUCAAAGUGAUGGGAUGUUCAUUAGUUGAUUUUAGCUAGACCAUUAGUUUCAAGAUAGCAAUAUUGGUAGGAUAGUGCAAGGGAUAUUCAUCGUUACCAAGAGGGUGUGUUCAAACUGAGCACUUCGUUUGCCAUCAGCAGUAACAGCAGUCCAUCCAUCAGGCCACAUCCGAUCACGCCAUACGCCUGGGCUUGAUAAAUUAUAAUUUAACGAGAAAAAGAGAGAUAACACGUGCAGGAAUCAAAGAUUGAGUAAACAUGUACCUGCGUUGAUCAUUGGUUCGAUGGUAAAGGUCUGCCCUGCUUUCAUCACACCAACUGCUUUGUUUCCUGUGGCCAGGACAUCAUCGAGAGUAAGAUUUGACAGAGGAUGAGCAAGAGGCAGAAACAUAUCAUUUCUAAUAUUUGUCGUUUCUCUCUAGAUUCCAAACUCAACAAUGAAAGAAGACGCUGGGGAACAGCCACAUUUUUCCCUUGGAAACAUAUACAUUGGGAGGGGGGAACCUACUUCACCUAAACUUACUUCCAUAAUGGGGAAUAUUAGGGGCACAAUGAAAGAGCUCUCCAAUGCCAUGCCCACAAUAUGACCUGACCUAAUUGUAUAUAGAGACAGAGAGAAAGUAAAACAAUUAUACAAAUAUUUAAUAAUCUAGUAGAACAAGAAGUGAUUAUGAUUUCUGUAGGAAACUGAAAUUAGACAUUACCACAGACAAGCCUGACAUUGAAGCAUGACGGUUAAUAACUUCUCCAACAUCACGGAAUCUGACUCCAGGUUUCACUGAUGAUGAUAGGAAACAAUCCAGAACAGAGAUUUUUGUUACAUAUCAAACAAUAUUGAUAAAUAAUAAUAAAACUAAAAUUAAGUCACAAAAGGAUUAUAAUAUUUAUAUCACAGCAACAUAAUGCAUUCAAACCUACUCUUAACAAUCCGACCUAAUUUUGACUUUUCUUAUGAUGGUGGAUAUUAGCUCAAAAGGAAGACCUAAGAAUGGAUACAAUCACACAAACUUUUAAGUAGGACCAACACAGGAAAAAGCAACAUAUUGCACAUUUGUUUCCAUAGAAGGCAAAAAAUAACUCUAUCUGUGAAUCAACAGAAUUCAGCAGAUUCUAAAACUUCGUGUAUUUUUUCAGCUCUAGAAAACUGUUGAACAGAUGGGUAAGAAAUUACAGUCCAGCUAUUAAAAUGUAAAUUUAUAGUCUAGAUUUUCAAUAAAAUAGAUGAAAGAGGAAAUACACAUACCCAUGGCUAUAGCUUUCUCCAAGCACUCAUAAGUACACUGGACUAAACGUCGGGACUCUUCAUCAACUUCUCCAACGAAAUAUGUCUCAUUGAGAUCACCUGCAUUUCAACUUUCAAGUCAGCAAUUAGCAGAAAAAAGCAGUUCUUAGGGUCAAUUAAAAUUGAUAAAUUACAUUUCUUACCAUGAUACCCUUUAUAGCACACGGUCACAUCCACAUUUACAAUAUCACCAUCCUCUAGUUUCCUGAAACAAUCAAAGCAAAUAUUCACAAAACGCUUACCUAAUCAAAUUAUCAACAUAUUUAAAAUUCAAUACAUGAAGACAGAUUCAGCAAUAGGAGAUGUAUUGCAACCACAUUAAUGAGAGAUUAAAACACAUACCGUGCAUCAGGAAUGCCAUGACAAAUCACUUCAUUAACAGAACUGCAAAGAGAAACAAACUGCAAUUUCAAAAAAUGCAUCUAAAAAUAAAAUUUAAGAAAAUUAUACAAAAAUUAGUGCAUACGUGCAGCAAGACUUGGGAAAGAAAUGAUAAUUGAGUGGAGAUGGAUAUCCACCUGAAACAAUAUAUGAAAAAAAAAAUUAGUAACCACGAUUCCCAGGCAAACGACUUUUUCCCCAUCUCUUUUGAAUUGUAAAUAACCUACUCUGGUAAAAAUAAAUCUCACAAUAAACUGGCACUUUGAAAUAUCAAAAUUUAAUAAAAGAAAAUAAGAGAGAAUUCAAAUGAAAGCAAAAGAGAAGAAACCAAAAUAAAUCCUUGACAAAAGAAGCAACAACACGACAAUCAUCCGUUUCCUGACCAGUGGAAAGGAAGAAAAUGGCUGCUCUCUCAUAUCAUGGAAACUCCUAAAGAUUAAUUAUUGAAUAGUUAGUUUCCAUGAAAAGAAUCAAAUCGAGGGUUGCAAGAAGCACCACUAUAAAUAGUGAUCAGUUGUUUUUUCAAGUAAUCAUGUUCCAUCAAUUCACACGAACCUCAACUAAAAAUUACAUGAAACAACCACCUAACCCAAAUUCAAAGGAAAUUUGGUGUAUUUUAGGGGCCACCAUAAUUAUGAACUUGGCUCUUUAAACAACUAGACCAACUAAUGGAAGUACUUGAUAAUAAUAAUUGCAGAGCAAACAUGUCUGUUGUUUCUAAUACCUGCAGCAAUCGUUGCGUCAUGAACCACACGGUCAAUUUCAUCAGUAGUUAUACCUGGCCGAAUCACUCUAGCAGCUGCAUCUAAAACUUCCCUUGAAAUCUGAAAAUUAAUUCAUUUAAUCACCAGCGAGAUUCUUAAAGCAUAAAUAUAAAAGUAUGAAUGAAAGAAACUUAGAUGUAUAAAUGUAAACAUAUGAAUGUUAGAAACUUAGCUUCAUCUGGAAUUUUUUAUAAAAUUUUGAAACAAGAUGCAUACUGACUAUAAAUAAAUGUCACCAGAUUGUUCAUAAAAAUAAACUGAUGUUAUGAAGCAAAGAGAAUCAACUUUGCAUUAGAAUUGAAGAGAAAUCAGACAUACCCUGCCAACCUCCCUCAUUUUUUCAAUCUGAUCGGGUGUUUUGAUCUUCAAAAGAGAAAAACAUAUGGUUAGUCAAGUAACUAAAAGUUUAGAAAAACUAGUAAUAGCUAAGAAACAGAAGCAUACCUCAACAACAUGUUGGAAGUCACUAUUUGGCUCAAUUUUUGGAAUUCCCUGAAAGUUUAGAGAAAAGGAGAGGUAAAUCAUUCACUACAAUCAUUGUGGAAAUUGAAACAGAAACAGCAUUUAUACAUGAUGGGUCACUCGAUAAAAGCUGGAUAAUAUAGCAGCAUAUCUACUUUUAAGUUUUAAGGACACAAAUCUCCAAGAUCUGCAACCAAUACUGUUACCCACAUCUCAACCCUCUUACCAAUCAAGGAAGAAUGGAUGAAGAACAACGAAAUUUGACAAAGAUUUUGUUAAUUAAGCUAUUACUAAUAUUAGUAGGUAAAAGGAUGUUCCUUUUCUGGAAGAAAAUAAAUGUAACAAUUGAAAUAUACAAAAAGUUAAGCCCAAAAUUAUAAUCCAGCAGUUAGAAAAAUACUGUUAAUUGGCUAAGAUCAUAGGAAUAGGAAAAUAACAAAGUCUUUUUGAACAAAAUUAAAGGUCCACUUGGACUAAAUGCACAGCAAAAAUUAUUCAAACUCACAUCAUCUGCCCAAUCUGGCCGAUCGAUGUGAGGAGGUACUUCGCACUUGCUUGAUAUGGGAUAUGGCCUCAGAGUCCUGCAAAAUAACAGAGGGCAUAAAUGCAUCCAAUGCUUCACACAAAAAAUAUUUCACAUGUUGAAUUUGAACUUGAUGUCUAAUUUGUUAAAGCUAUCUCAAAAUCUCUAGUAAAGGACACUGAACAGCAAUGGGAAAACAGACUCAGUGUCUUCUACUAUGAAGUUCUUUUAGGGUAGGGAACCUCCCACGAAUUUUAAGUCAAAGGUACAAACAAUUUACAGGAACAUAGUUUUUCAGAAGAAAGAUCAAUAAGAUGGGUUUCACCAUUAAAAUGCCAUAAAGUUUAGAUUUUCUUCAAAGCACCACAUGCUGGAUGCUAAUGGUCUCAUGAUACACAUUUACAAGUCAGCCAAGAGUUCUACUCUGUUACUGUAAAUUUUGCAACAAGAAAGAAAGAUACUAUAUAAGUAAACAAAGCCUAUUGAAAAAAAAAGGUAAGUUUUCUCUCUUUCCCCUCCCUCCUCUCUCCUCUCUCCUCCAGUAAACAAAGCCUAUUGUUUUUUUUAAAAUAAUAAUAAAUAGAUAAAUAAAAUAUUAUUGGCUAGCUUGCAAUGAGGAAAUCAGAUGGAGGAAUAUAAAAGGAAACCAAGAUACCCACUGGGCAUCACAAAAAAAUCUUAUCCAAUUAAAGAAAGGAUGACGUGAGUGGUCAACGAGGACAUGAUAGAUAGAAUGAAUACACAGGGGCAAGAUAAAAGCCUCGAUGCUUACCCUGUCCAAUCAAAAUGGGGUAGCUUUGGUGUUCUUGCCUGUCCUUUCUUCAAGCAAUAUAACCAACCUUCGUUUGCAAGAUCUGAAUUCUGUUCCCCAGAAUUACCAGUCCCUAUUGAGGACAGUUUUGCUUUUAAAUGUACUGCUUUGUGAGUGCUCCAAGAGGCCUUGAAACAAUCCUGAGAACUGUUGAGAUAGGAAACUUCAUAAAUAAAUCAACAUGAUUUCAACGCUUAACAAAUACUUUAUCCAAACCAUCAAAGAGCCAUCUAAUAUAGAUACAAUAUGAUGCAAAUUAAGUGAUUCUUCAUUUUCUACUAUUGAUAAAUCAGUAACCUUGGGUGUACUAAUUAAACACAAAGAAUCUUAACAUAUUAGAAAAUUUAGGUUUAAGUUUCAAUGUUAUACAAUUACAUGUCCAAGUUCUAAUGUAUGUCAAGAUAUAUGUCAGACUUCUAAUUAACAAGUUCUCAAACUCACAAGACGUAAGCAUAUAAGCUUCACUAAUAGUUUCUUCAACCCACUUCAUUCAUAUUACAUGCUAAUCAACAUAUUUUUAAGAAAAACCAAAGAAUAAAAGGUUGCAAUGCUUGAUUGAUCUAACUAAUAAGUAGUUGGCUGUGACCACAAACCAGAAAGCAGCAUUCUCACGAGGAAGCUUCAGAUCCAUACACUUUGGACACCUAAACACAAAGUAAGUUAAUCAGAAAGAAUGGUAUUAAUAAAAAGGUUAAAUAGUUACCAUAGAAUAUGUGGACUAAAAUUUUAAACACAAACAAGUCACACAGAGUAUCCCUGAACUCCCAACAAUUUUUCUACCUUUUAAAGAACAUAUAGUGUCUCUUAUGAUUUCAGGCAACUACUUAUAUCAUUGAAUUACUGUUGAAACACUAACCCUAAUGUACUUAUUGCUUUUUUUUAAAAGAAGACGAGCUUCUUUAUUAUUAAUAACUCAACGUACAAGAGAGCUAUACAAUGAGAAUAAUAGGGAAGCCAAGAAAUGGAGACAGAGAGAGAGGAUCAGUAGAUGCACCCGGACAAUGUACUUAUUGCUACCAUCACACUUCUCAUUUACACUUUGUUUAGACAGAAUAAUGAUCAAUCACCAGAUAAUCAGAACUUAUAAAUGAAAUGCCAUUUUUGCUUCAAAGUACUAUUAUAACCCAAAUGCUGUGCUGCCUUUCACCUGCACCUAUGCUCUACUGAUCAGCCGUCCUCCUAGUUCAACAUUGUUUGAAGCAACCUUUGGUUGGAAAUCCCUUCGAGGAGCUGUGAAAUAAUGCACUUACAUGCCUUUUCUAGUUCAACAUUCUCUUCUUUGUCUUCUUCUUUUGACAUUUAGAACCAUAGUCUAAUUGUUAAUCAAGAGUCUUAUUCCUUUUUUGGAUCAAAACAAAAGAGAUUAUGCCUCCUGCCUCUCACCUCCCGCCUCCCCAAGGCACAUCAUGUCAUAAAGUGAUAGGAAAAACAAUAUCACUUCAUCAUAUGUAUCUAACUCCAAUACACCACGAAUUGAAAUUUUAGCGCAAUAUUUUACUUUAACCACAACGUCUAGAGAAAUGUUGAUGGAAAAUAUUUAAAUUAACAUCAAUUCUAAUUGGAAUGCGGUUGAAAAUCAUUCUUAAUAUAUUUAUACAAGUGGCUACUGAUAGAUAUGAAUUUUCUAAAAUAAUUGUUACGUUUUGCAGUACUUUAUUUACUUUUUAUCAAAAUUCUUGUUAAAAUUCUGAGGCUACUGAUAGACAUGAAUUUUAUUUACUUACUUUAUUUAUUCAAGUGGCGAUUGAUAGACAUGAAUUUUCUAAAAUAAUUGUUACGUUUUGCAAUACUUUAUUUACUUUUUAUCAAAAUUCUUGUUAAAUUUCUGAGGCUCGAUCCCCUGUUUUUCAAGAGAACAAUGCACAAAACCGCUUUUAGCCUUUCAAACCAUUGAUUGGCACAGAUAUUCAAAAGAGUAUAAUUACCAAAAGAAGAGAAAAGAGAACACCAUAAAAAUCAUUAUUUCCUAAAGAAUAUCAUAAUCCACCCAAAUAUCAUGUAAAACGCUUCAAUAACUUUCCAAACAAAUUCUCAAUAUAGGGCUUUUAAAAACAUUGCUCAUUAGUUUUAAAAUCAAACAACUACCACCACCCAUUGGUUUUAAACUUCCAAAAUACAAAGCAACUAUAACUCGUUUUACAAAAAGAAUAAACUUCUGAAUAUCAUGCGGCAACUAUACAAGGGAGCUCUUAAAAUAGAAUGGCAAGAAUGGCCUACACGAUUCAACAUAUGCGCUAUCAAAAUCACAAGUCAAAAACACCUAAACCAUGACUUCCAGCUUCAUUCAUACCAAUCCGAGAUUCUGAUUUCGCCCAAGAAUCCCAAAUUAAAUUUUUUCAAAAAAAAAAACAACAACAACAAUAAACUUCCCAAGGCAAUAACAUUUUUCCAAGUCCACAAGCUCAAACUAAGCAGCUAAAAAUCCAUCAAAAACAAAAGAAACCCAAAAGGAACUCAAAUUCCAUCGACAUUCAAGAACCAAGAUGAACAUGGGAACUACGACGACAGCUGAAAAAGUUCAAAAGAAAAGAUAAAAAAAACACAUACUGAAGAUGGGAAGGUUUGCCGCAUCUGGCACAAGUUAAGGUAACAGUUUCGGCCGUAUCGGAACCACCGGCCAUUGAACCAGUAACGGAAACGAUCCUCCUCCGUCCUCUUCCGCCGCCGGCAAGAAAUAUGUAUCAAUAACUUUCAAUUAAUCGAACAGAGCGAUUGAAAAGUAUAGAGAAUGCCUUGAAAGAAAGGGAAAAAACAACUCAUAGACCCUGUUUUCGUGUGCUCAAGGCUAAAAUAUUUUGCUAUAAAGUUCUAAGAGUACCAUUUUAAUCAACAAGGCGCCUGUAGCUCAGUGGAUAGAGCGUCUGUUUCCUAAGCAGAAAGUCGUAGGUUCGACCCCUACCUGGCGCGUUUUUUCUUUUUCCCUCCAUUUUGUUUUAUUCUUUUUUUUUCCCUCCAUUUUGUUUUAUUCUUUUUUUUUCCCUCCAUUUUGUUUUAUUCUUUUUUUUUUCCUUCAUAUUGUUUAUGUUAUAUUUUUUUCCUUCAUAUUGUUUAUGUUAUAUUUUCUUCCUUCAUAUUGUUUAUGUUAUAUUUUCUUCCUUCAUACUGUUUAUGUUAUAUUUUUUUCCUUCAUAUUGUUUAUGUUAUAUUUUUUUCCUUCAUAUUGUUUAUAUUAUAAAAAGAACUAUCCAACAACAAAACGCUAGAAUGGAAGGUUUUGAUAUAACUAAUGUAGCACUGCCAACCCAAUUUGUAAAUGAAUUGAUGACUUGUAACUCGUCCAAGUUUCUAUUUAGAAUUUUUAUAUUUUAUAAACUAUUUUUUUAGUACAAUUUUGUAUAUUUUAUAAAUCAUUUUAAUUUCUUUUUGCUAUUUAAAUUUAAAAUGUAACAAAAAAGACAAUUAAAUACUUUAUUAAAAUUUUAUAUGACCUUAAAAAUCAAACUCCCGCCUCGAAAGGAACGCCGGUAGCCGGAAUCCAAUCGCCGCCGUGAAGAAACUCAGCCACCGUGAAAGGCCGCGCUUCCUCCGCGGAACGGAGGAUGUGAAAUCCCGGCCAAUUUACCCUAAAUCUCGUCGAAGAACCGUCGCCCCUGUUCUUAAACUCUGCAUAAAACAGAGUCGAAAUCGCAAAAUCCCCUGUCCAUUCUCCCCACCCUUUCGGAUCAAUCAACCCGUCCAGAUCCGUCGCAAUUACCACCGUUCUCGAAAACCGCUUCCAGGGCCGCCCGAGGUACGUCCUGUACUGAGCCUUUACGGGGGAAAAUUCCGGUGCCGGCUGGACUCUGGAGUUGAGGAUCGAAAAUCCGGUGGCCUCUGCCGGAUCGUCGCGGCCUUGGGCAGUGAUCAUGUUGGCUUGGUGAAGAAUCGGCUGUCGGACGAAGAUUUCGCAGUUCUGGAGGACGGCGGCCGAGUUGCCAAAGAUGAAGUCGAUGGUGCCAUAGAUUUUGCAGUCGCGGUAGAAUUGGCGAAGGGAGUGGAGGAAGAGGGUGUCUUGAUAGCCUUUUAUUGCGCACCGGUAUACGACGGCAAGGUCGGAAUUGAGCCGUAGCGCCACCGCUUGUUGCUUUCCCGGUCCGGCGGUGUUCUCGAAUGUUAUGUCCCUCACCCAAAACCCGUCGCCGGAAACGCCUGCUCAGAUACGGCAAUUCUAUCGAACAUUUUAUAUUUCAAAAGCAAAAGAAAAAUGAAAAUUUUACGCAUUUGUAUUUUGUAAGGAUAUUUGUAGUUAAGGCUCACCGAAUGUAGCUGAGUUAUAAGUGGUGGCGCCGUCGGGUACAUUGCGGCUACCAGUGACGAUGGUUUUGUCUAUGCCGUCGCCGACAAGCAUGACGUUCUUCAACUGUAUUCCAAUUUCCACAUUCUCCCUGUAAACUCCAGCUUUCACGUAUAUCACAAUUCUCCCUCCUCGCCGUGUCCGUCCACUUCUCGCCAGAGCCGCCACCGCCCUGUUUAUGGUUCUGUGGGUGCCGGAUCCAUCCUUCGCCACCACAUAGUUCGCCUUCGACGUCGCCGGAUUCCACGUUGCCAAGUUGGUUCCUCUGUUUUCCCUCCAUUUCCGUUUCCCCAAUCUUUUCCGUCCUGAAUUCAAAUUUUCAUUUCUAUUCGUGACAUGAAGGUCUUUUGUGUCUUUUACUUUAUUUUUCCCUUUAUUUCUUCUAUUUUGGUGUUCACUUUUUUAAUGUUAUUAUUAUUUUUUUUUCCAUUUUGAAUAAUAUGUACUCACCAAAUCAAAUAUAAAAAAACAAUCUUAAUUUUGUUAUAUAGUAUUUUGUUACGAACCAAAAAGUAUAAACUAAAUUUUUGCUUCAAUGAAAUUUUAGGAUUUUCUAACCAUUAAAUAUACACAUACAUGAAACCAUUAACUUAUAACAAAAACAAACAAGUUGGAAUAUGGAAUGGUACUGAUUGCAACGUGUGGGUAGCAAGUGCUCACCGUUCCGCUUCUCCACGGCAGCAAUCUUAUCGUAUAAAUGCAGAGCUCCAGUGAGCAUCACCGUCAAGUUAUUCCCAUCCACCGCCGCCACAUCGUGGACCUCUUCCAACCCAUCCAAACAACUCCGAUGGUUAGCCAUGGCGGCGCUGACCCACAUCCGACCAUCUUCCGCCCUAUACUUAUUCUCUCCAACCAACAUCCCCGCGAGCCGCCACUCGGCCUCCUCAUAGAGCGUAGCGCAAUCACGAAGCGCGGCCUGCAGAUUCCAAUCUCCAAACUGACGUCGUUUUAAAUUACCAAUUUCGGUUAUGGCUUCCCUAACCCCGGUCUGCGCCAACCGAACCGAGUCCAGCGCAGGCAACGAAAAAUUAGAAGAAGCCACAAAGGGUAGGAAGAGGAGAAGGAGAAAUGUAGUGAAGGGGAAGGGCAUUUUGGUCAUUUAGAUAAUGGGAAAUAAGAGAAGUUUUGUAACUUAAAUUGAUUGAUAAAUGUAAUCAUAAAUAAAUAGGUGGGUGUGGAGAGAGAUAAGGUGGGUGUGGAGAGAGAUAAGGUGGGUGUGGAGAAACACCUGGAAUGUGGGUGUGACCAAGUGUCAGUGGGUGGGAAGAGAUUUUUUCUUUUUUGUUAACAUGUAUAUAAUGUAUGUAAACUCUUCAUGCAUUUCCAUGUUACAAAGUCACACCCUAAGUCAAUAGUAAUUUUAUUUUAUUUUAUGAAGGUUGAAUUGACCAUUAUGUAUGAUAUGUGAGUAUAGUGGUGCCUUUUUCUUCAAUGUUAAAAGAAAGUUUUGAUAAAGUAUUUUCAAACCAUGGGCUUUGAACCAUUUCAACUUACAAUAACUAAAAUAAUCUUCAAAUUCUUAGGAGACCCGUAGUUGAGAUAUAUCUUUAAGAGUUUAAUCUUUGGAUGUUCAUAACUUCCAUAUCGAGGAUUUUCCAUCGUUGUUUUCAUCUUAAUCUCUCAACAAAAGCCUUAUUUGGAUCUGGGCCUAGGUGUCAUUUCGAUCCAUAAAAUAGACUCGAACUGAUCAAAAACUAGGCUUGGACCCUGGCCUUCCUUAUUUGGGCUUGGACCCUCUUGGUUAAAAGUAAUUAUUUUUCAAUUUUAGAUGUUUUAAAUAUUAAGAAAAUGAAAAAAAAAAAAUGAUGUUUGAGGCGUUCCUUUUCUUCUAUGGAAAGUGAUGUUAUUAUUUUCAUUUUUUAAAGUUCAUGGGUAGAGAGAUUUAAAUUCAUUAAAUUUAUUUAUUUAUAUAGAUGUUAUAGAUGUGAGUUGAACUAAGCUCUUGUUGAUAUUUAUUUAUUUAUAUAGAUGUCAGUUGAACUAAACUCUUGUUGAUAGUGAUGUUAGUUAAUUAAAAGGGAAAUUGCAAUUGAGGACCAUUUUAUGAAUAAUAAUUUAGGGUAUAGCAACAUUUUAAAAAAAUUGCAAACAUAACAUAACUAUCACUGAUAGACUUCGUAUGGUUUAUCACUGAUAAACUUCGUAUGGUUUAUCACUGAUAGACUUCGUAUGGUCUAUCACUGAUAGACUAAUAUUUGCAACAUGGUAUAUCGAUGAUAGAAUUUGACAUUUUUUGCUAUAUUUGCAAAUUUGUUAAAAUGUUGUUGUGUACUUAAUUAUUUUGAAUCUAAUUGCUAAAUUUGCAACUAUCUUUUAACUAUAAAAAUUGAUGAUAAAAUCCUUUUUAAUAUAAACAACUUCACCCAAAACACUUAUUACUUAAAACAUUUGAAAACAAAACACUCAAAACAUACAAUGAAGAAAAAAGCAUGAAAAUGUGAAAAGAAACAACUAUGGAAAAAGUGAUUUAAGAAAGUACAAGAGAAAGCAUUUGGUUUGAAAGAAACCAUCUUUCAAUUCUCACACACAUAGUUUCAAAUAUAACAAAUGAAUCAAAGAGUAAAAGAAAAAAAGACAAAAACAAGAAUGUAGAAAUAGGAUUUGAUUGUGUGCAUUUACAGUAGCGUGUUACUGUUACAACAAACACAUAAAUGCGCCACGUGCUAAUUGUAGGUCAAAGUCAAAGUUUUGGACGGUUGUUGAUCUACCACCAUCCCCGUCGGUGAAAAUCCAUCGGUUUUGGCCCUAAAACUGCAAUGCCGUGUUAGGAGGUACCUUAAUAAGCCAUGUGGAUAAGGACGAUGACGGUACUUUCAUUCUCUUUAUUUUUAUUUUCUCAAAAAUAUGGUAAACAAUAAACAAAAUAAUUAUGAAAUAGAAAAAGUGUAUUAAAUGAUAGUAAAAUUUAGAAAACAAAUACAUCAUAAUUUUUUUUUCAUAUUACAAAUUUGACAAAUACGACGAUAAUUAUAUUAGAUGGUUCUUUUAUUAAAUUUACUAUUUCUAUAAAUUUAUUUAAAAAUAUAAGUGACAUGAAAUAUAUUCACAAUUUUCUUUUCUACUUUUGUCAUCUCUCUUACAAAAUAAAGUAAAAAUUACCUGAUAUGCUUAUUAAUGACAUUGAUAGACAGUAUUAGAAGUUUAUCAAUAUUUAUUAUUGCUAUACUCUAAAAAUUUGCUAUAUUUUAUAAAUAUAUUGGUUUAUUUUUUCUACAGUUAAAAUAUUAUAUUUUUAUCGUUAUUUAUAAUAAAUAAAUAAUUUUUUAUUUUUAAUUAUAAAUUUUAUCCAUAAAUGUUAAUAUUUGGGACAAUUAUUAUACUUAGAUAAUAAAUAACUUGGUUAAAUUGAUUUCAUCAUUAAUAGUAUUGUUUUUAAAAUUUUUAUUGGGGAUUAUUGCUUGAAUUUUGUAAAUAAAUUAUUUUAAACGUUUAAUUUUUUAAAAAUAUUUAUAAAUAUAGCAAAAUAUUAUUAUCUAUUUGUGAUAUAUAAAUCACCAUAAUUUGUCGUUUUUGCUAAAAAAAAUAGUUAAAAUUAUUUGAUAUUAAAGUUUGAAGUAUUUGUAUUAUUAGUCAAAGAAAAAAGAAAACUACAUUUUAAGAGUAAGUAUGAAAUAAAUAGGAUUGAAAUUUGGAGUAGAAACAAAGAGACUAAUGAAUGAUGAAAGGAGAUGACACAUCAUGCCUUCUAAAACUAUCUUACUUCGGAUUUGACAUUUGAAAAUUGAAAGAAAAAUUAAAUAAAAUGUAAACCCUAAACCCCCCACCAUGCAAUAUGAAUAUAAUAAUUUCAAUUGAGCAAAGGAUAAAAUCAUAUAAAUAAAUAGAGAUAACAAAAUUAUUUUUUCUUUCACGAAAAAUCCACCGCUAUAUUUAUUGCGUAUGAAAGUUUGUAUACCAUUAUUUUGCUUGUGUAGUAAUCAUUUGUCCUUAUGGACAUAUAUGGAGAGUAAAAUAAAUUAAAACUAUUUAUAAAAUAUAACCAAAAAAAAUCUUAUUUUUAUUUAUUUUUAAAUAAUUUAAAUUAAAAAACAUCAAAUUUUAUAAAAUAUUUACAACAAAUAAUAAAUUCUAUUAGUGAUAGUCAUUAAUAUAUUAAAUGAUAAAAGACUAUCAAUGAUAAAAUCAAAAAUUUUACUAUAACUUAUAAAUGUUUUAAUUAUUUUGCUAUUUUUAAAAAUGUUUCGAAAAACUUUUUUUUUAAAUCUAUUUGGUUCAUGAACUUUUAAAAAUGAUAUUUCUAAUCUUCACGUUUAUAAUGAUAGACUCAUUUGAUACUCGAGUUUUAAACUAUAAGUUUAUAAGGUCUUGAUAGUAUAUGUUUGAUUUUUAAAAAGUAAUUAUAUGAUAUUUAUAAUUUUAAAAAUAGUUUUAGAGAAUAUAUAACUUUUUAAAAUAAAAAUAUAAAAUUAUUUGAGAGACCUUUUAAACCUGUUUUUAGAAGCUCAAACACAAAAAUAAUGUAUAUUCUAAAAGCUUGAAACCAAAUAAGUCUAUUUUUAUAAACAUGUAGAGACUUAUAAACAUGUAGACUAAAAAAGUUAAUUUUUAAACUCAGUGACCAAACACACGUAUUCACCAAAACCUUGAGACUAAAAAACCAAAUUUCCUUAUUUUGAACAAUAAAACGUUUGAAAAUUAUUUUAAAUAUAGCAAAAUAUCACCAUCUAUUAGUGUUAAAUCAAAAUAGAUUACGUGUCUGUCAUAAUAUACAUAGUAAUUUAUUUUUGUCUGUAUAUUGUGACUUAUUGUAGAUAAACGUUGAUAUAUUGCUAUAUUUUAUAAAUAUUUUGAUUUAGUUUUCUAUAUUUAAAAAAAGUUAUGGUUGUAAAACCCAAAAUUGUUCCAAUCAUAAUCAAAAGUUAGGCAUCAAAGUUAGAUACUAAUCCUACUUUGAAUAAUCUAAAAAUUAGGACAAUGGAAAUGCAUGAUAUUAGUCCAAUUGACCAUUUGAAAUUAUAGGAUAUAAUUUGACCUACUAAGCUAAGUACACCAACAAAAGUUAGACUAAUCUUCUCUAUUCUUUUAAAAGGUUAGAAAGUAUUAAAAUUAGAUUAACUCAACGUUAGGAACAAUAUCACGUAUCUUUUAUUACAAUAAUAUAUUGUUGGACUAAAAGAAGUAUAAUCAGAAAGUAAUCAUUUUUUGUCGAUUGUACUCCUAAAUUGUGAGUUGUAUAAAUUAAACUUUCAAACCAAUUGUUGUAUAAAAUUAAAAUCUUAGUCUUUUUUUGUAUCGUUUUACACGCUCGUUCAUACUUCAUAUAGAAAAGAAGUAGGUAUGAAAUUCAUACUUAUCUCAAUUGAAUUCACAUGUUGUCUUACUUGAAUCCUCUUGCACAAUUUAUUAAGAUCGUCUUUUUUAAAACAAUUCAAUGCAUCAAUUGUUAUACAUUGAUAAACUCAUUCAAACUUCAUAUCGACAAAUAACUAAAAUGGAUGUAUUGAUAGUUCUAAAAAGGAACCACAAUUAAUCGAGAGUUGGAUUUAAAUUGAUUUGUUUAUGAAGAUUUAAUGUUUUAAUUAAUACUAAAAUUAAGGUUUUCGUUUAUAAAAAAAUAUAAAAAUUAACAAACUAUUUAUACCUGAUACAAAUUACACUUGAUUUUUAUACAAAUAUAACAUACAAGAGAGUGUACACUCUUUCAAAAAUUCACUUUUUUUUAAUACAACUUUGAAAACGAUCAAAUCUCUCAUCUUUAUAAUAAAAUAUUAUAUAAAUUAAAAUCAAAUUAGCUAAACUUACUCUAACAAAAGUUUAGAUAGUUCGUCAUUUAAUUUAAACGAAAAAAAAGUUAUAAGGUAUAAAUUGAUAUUCGUUUCCUAAACUUUAUCGAUAUUAUUGAAGUUUUUUAGUUGGCUGUGAAUUUGCGUUACGACAAUUAGGCGGUGUCGUUCCAGAAAUACAAGUCAAAGAAAACGAAGAACAUUGCGAAAAUUAGUUGUGACGUAACAGUGCCAACGACAAGUCGUAAAGUUAGUAUGGUUAGGCUGGAGGGUAAAAAAGUACUUUAGAACGGCCCCACGCAUAAAGGCAAAAAGCCCCAAGAAAUUAUUAUUAUUAUCAUUAUUAUUACUUUUAAAUUUCCAGACAAUUAGCAAUUUUCAGUAUUUAUUUAUUUUCAAAGAAUUUUGAGUAUUUAUUACAAAUAAAUUACAUUUUUAAGUGCUUUCUUUAAUACCAGUAUUUAUAAUUUAUUUUUCAAACUUUAUGGUUUAAAAUAUAUUUUUUUUAUUUUAGCAAAGACCACCUAUAUAUUUAUGUUUCUUUCUAAUAUAUAUACGAAGAAAAAUAAUUAAAUGAAUGAACAAUAAACAGUUUUUUAAUUGAUAUUUUGAUUUUUUAAAAAAUAACAAAUUAAAGCUUACAGUUGGAAGUAUUAAUGUGUCAAGUUAAACCUUAAACUAAAAGUUAUAUCAAAUUAACUCUAAACUUUUAUAAGUGUAUCAAUCUAAACCUUUAAGUUUCAUAACAUUUGAUCGAUUUAAAUCGUUCAAUUAUAAAAGAUAACACGAAAAAUUAUAAGAAUAAACAAAAAGAAAAAUAAUUGUUUUAGUAUUAAAUCUUAUAUAAAAAGUAGAUAAAUAUGUUAAUUAAUUGGUCGUUAAUGAAAGCCUAACUAAUUUGAGUUUAAAAGGAUAUAACUAUAUGAAAUAUAAUUAUUAAACAUAGUGAAUAAGGUUUAUAUUUUUCAAAUCAAACGAAGGGAUAAGAAGUGUUAUUAAAUGAUAUUGAAGCCUUUGAUAAAGUGGUAGACAACCUAAAGUCACAUGUUAUUUAAGAUAGAGACUAACUAACUAUAUAUGUUUCCACAUAUAAAUAUCAUUCAUUUAACAAUAAUUCAUAUUAAUUAUUCCUUAAAUAUACAUCACUCAUAUCACUUAUCAAAGAUGUGACUAUUUCAUUUUAUCUCGUUUAAUCCCAUUAUCUUUCAGUCAAAACGAAUUUGAUGCCUAUUAGAAUCAGUAUGAUAUGACAUAUAUAAUAGUCAUCUAACACGAGGUUGCAUGACAUAAUAUAAUAUCGUCACAGGGAUUGAAAGAUAGCGACAUUCGUUUACGCAUUUGGUUUUUGCUAAACAAAAUAAGAAGGGAAAAAAAGUGACAAUUUAAACUAUCACAUUAUUUUAGUUUAUGUACUUUAGGUUAUGUUAUUCUAUUUGUUGUCGUUUUUGUACAUUCUGUUUAAUAAUAGUCAACAUAUUGAAUUAAUCUUCAUUUAGUCACUUAAAAUUAAUUUUUAUAAACAAAAGAUCGGUUAAGUGAUAAUAACAAUCAUUUUUAUGUAAUAAAAUACCGUAUGUGUGAGAAUACGUCGUAUUCACAAUUUAUAUCAAUAAUGUUAAUGGUAUCAAAACCAUAAUUAAAAGUUCGAAAGUAAAAGGAAUGAUAUGGAACGAAAUUCUAACCUAAAUCGUACGACCAAAUUUUUAUUUUUAGAUCAUGAUGCAAUACAUUUUUUUCGAUAUAUAAUUAGUUUGGUUUUUUACUACAAUAAAAAAUGGAAGAUGCAAAUAGAUGUUAUAUGUUAGCUUAGCUAAAUUUAUAAACCAAGCAAUUUGAAUAAAGUAAAAGUACAAAAGAAAAAAAAAUUUGAAUAAACUAAAAUUUAGUUUGAAGCAUAAAUAAUUUAAAAUAUUUGUAUUUCAUAAAUUUCACAUUAAAAAAUAGAAUUUAAAAACAUAUAUUUUUACUUCUUAAUUAACUUUUCAAUCACAUUUUCUCAAAAUAAAACAUAAUCAAAUUUGAAUGUUUCACUAUCAAUCAAUUAUAAAUAAAUAAAAAUACUAAUGGCAAUAAAUUUAUGAUGAGAAAUGUGAGAGAAUUAAUAGACUAUAAUAUAUAUCCCAUCUAUAAAAGAGACAUCCACAAUCAGAUUUCUUAUUUAGAAUUGAUUGACAAACACACUACAAAAAAGAGAUGUGUAUAUAUAAUUUCCAUCAACUUUUACAAAUACUUCAUUACCAUUUAAAUAUCAAUUGGACCACAGCUUGUCCAACUUUCACAAUUUGCGUUCAUGUUCUAAAAAAUAGGUAGAAUAUUCUAACACAGUCGAAAUGAUCAUUCUCUAUUCGUAAAUCAAACUAUGUCAAUAAAAAUGCAUAACACAACUACACGAGUAAACAACUAUCAAUUUAUAAAUUACAAUUUAAACAUGGCUUAAAACAAAAGUGGAUAAAAGAUAAGGAGGAGACAAAUAACAUAUGGUUUGGUAUUAUGUAAUUUUCAUUGAUUUUUUUUGUUUAAUUUUUCUAAAAAAUGGUCCAUUGUAUAUAGCAACUUUAAUUUUUAUCAAGUAGGCUUGAAUAAUUGUGUGCUAUAUAUAUAAAUCAAAUAAUUAAUGAGCUAACUACAUCUUUAGAGAUCACAUGUAUUAGUUUAUCCUAAUUCACACCGUUGAAAUCCAUUAAUUAAUAUGUCAUGUGGGUGUGUUUCUCUCUAUUUUAUUUUAAUUAAUAAAUAAACAUGUAAACUAAAUUAAUUUUAAUACCUAUUUUUCUUCUUCUUUUUCUUAUAAAUGGGUCCAUUUCUAUAGUAAAAAUCAUGUGUAUAUUUGUAAUAAUGGAUUUUUUAUAUUUAAACUUCUUUUUAUAGUCACACACAUAUUUUUAAUUACAUAUAUUUAAAUAUUGUACUUAAAAUAGGGAUGAUUUUACUUUCUUGUUUAUUCUUUUUAUAGUCACACACAUAUUUCAAACGAGUUGGUCUGUCUUCAUUGUAAAUUUUCUUUCUAAUAAAUAUGGUCUCCAACGGUGUGCACUGCAAAAUCCACAACAAUCAGUUCUCUCUCAUACAUAGAUCUUUGCUCAAUCUCUAGCACAUAGAGUUUUACUAAAGUAAGCUAUGGUCUUUUUGUUUGAAUUAAAAUAACGAUUUUGGUUCUUAUACUUUGAGGUUUUUUCAAUUUUAUUUCACAAACUUAUGUAGUUGUUGAAUUUUAUUUUUGGCACUUUCAAUAAAUCUUAAAUUUGGUUUCAACAAUUUUUAAAAUCGUUAUUUCUAAUUUUAAUAUAUUUACUAAAAUUUUUAAAAACACAUACAUAUAUUUGUUUAUUAUUUACUAUUUAACAAAUAUCGGUGGAAAUUUACUUUUAUAGGCUAAAAUUGUAAGCUUCUAAAAUAAUAACAAAUUAAGUUUGUUAUGAUAUAUUGAAAUUUGUAAGGUUUUAAGUAGAUUGAUAAUUUAAUAUAUAAAUCCAACAUUUAGAUCAAUACAUCAAAUUAUUUAUAUUUAAUAAAUUAGUCAAACUAAUUAGGACGUUAGUUUUAUUUAAUGAAGAUUAAUUUGAAUUUGAAUUUAAAAAUUUGUUGGUUGUUGGAGAGAGUCAAAUUGUUUUGCAAGAAGAAAGACGAAAGCUCUUUGAAUUUGUUUGUGUUUAGGUGUUGAAUAUAUUCCCUCAUCGUAUUUUCUUAAUUAUUACACUAAUUUUCUUUGCCAAAACCCAAUAUAAAAAUUCAAUCUCCAAUUUCAUCAUCUUUCAAUUCUGUUUAGUUGGGGAAGUCAAGUAAUAAUUAUAAUUUCUUUGACUUUUAACAAAUAAGGAAAAUAUAAUAAUUGAAAAUAAAAAUAGUAUUCCAAAUCAAUUUAUUUAGAUAUAUAUGAUCUUUAGAUAUAUAUAUAUAUCAAACUCAUAUAAUGAUAACAGAUAAACACUUUUUAAAAUUGAAAGCUAGGAUGUGAAAUUUAAGCUCGUUGUUAAUUAGGGUAUCAUUUAUGUAACUAUAAAGCGUUUUGAUUAAUCAUUUGAUUUUUUGAAAAAUAUGUUCUUUUCUAGAACUUGUUUAUUUCGUUUUUCGUUCGACGAUAAUAAAUAACUAUCUAGUUUUUUUUUUAAAUUUAUAUUUUUUUUCUGUAGUUUAUAUAUAUAUAUUUUUACUUUAAGCAUUUCAAUUUCUAUCCGUUUUCUAAAAUAAGAACGAGUUUUUUUAAAACUAUAUUUUUUAGUUUUCAGAAGAGAAACCAUGCAUGCAAGUGAUGUUUAUGCUUGAUUUUUAAAAACAAAAAAUCAUAAACGAACACAUCUUUGAUUUUUGAAAAAAUAACUUUUGAAACACUACUUUCAUCUAUUGAUUUCUUUAAAAUUUGGAAACUAAAAAAACAAAGUUUAACUAAAAAUUUAAGUGUUUAGUCAAUUAGAUUAAUACGGAUAAUAAAACUUUGGGUGAAAUAAAAAAAAUACAUAGAUACAAUUAAAAAAACAAAAAUUAAAUUGUUUAUGAAAAUAAAACUUAGAUUAAAAUUUAGAGAAAUCAUUACUUUUAUUAUUCUUAAUUUACUCGAUUGAGAUUCGUAUAUGGUUGUGAUCACAUCAUAGGUUAUAUUUAUAUGUGAUGAAUGUACCAUUGUCUCUUACAUACUAUAUCGUCUCGACAUCACCCACUUACAACCAAAUCUGCAUAAAAUUAAUAUAUGUGAAUAAGUAUUAAUAUAUGUAUAUAUUAUUUUUUAGAUCGUAUUAUUAUGUGGUGAAGUGCACGACUAAUAAAAUCAAUAAUGUAUUGAUACACAACAUAAUUUAAUUAGUUAAUAAAAAUCAUAUUAUAACAAUGAUCAAUAACUUCCCCCUCAUACUUUCCAUUAUUAUUCCCUUCAAAGCUUGCAAAUUGUUGUGGAAAUGGCAACCACAUGUUCCCAUCUAUAUAUGUAAAACAAAAAUAAAUAGAUUCAUUCGUAUGUAUCACAUUUUCCAACAUUAGUUCAAUUUAUAUAUAUGUUUGCUUAACUCGAAUCAAAAGAAAAACAAGUAGCACGUAUUUAUCAACAUUAAAUCAUUGUUUUUCUCAAUUCAAAGAGCUAUGCUAUAAGUUUAUUAAAUCAAAAGUAACAUCUAUAUGCCCGUUAGAAAUCAAAUCAAUAUCGAAAACCCUAAACAAAUUAAGGCCGUUUUUUUGGAUUUGAAUAAUUAAUUUGCAUCCCCUAGUAUUUCUAAUAGUAAUAAAAGUCUCUUAAUUUUCCUAUGGAUCUAUAUCUAUAAAACCUACCCCAAAGCAGCCUUUAUUCUUUUUCUUCUUCUUUAGUAAACCUUCACCAGCUAAGGAAAGUGAAGUUCUUUAAAAUCUGCCAAACAAAAACCAUGGCUUCUCUCUCUCUUCUUCCAUGGUUGAAUAAUAUUCUUCUUAUCAAAAUGUUUAGUUAUUAUAUAAAUAUUAAUUGGGUUGGGACACUUGGGUUUGAUUUUUUUAUAUUCUUAUACUAAUAUUAUAUUUCAAUUCCUAUAUUUUCUAAUAUUUUGGAUAAAAGAAAAGUAUUUUUUUAAAAAUUUCUGGUAUAUAAUAAAAUUUAUCUUAAAAAUGGUAUAUAUUAUUAUUUUAUAAUUUUCUUAUUAUAAAACUAGAAAAAAAUUAUUGGGGAUAAUAAUUGAUAGUUUUUAUAUAUUUCUUAUUUGGUUAAAAAAAAGUCAUUGCCAUUGACUUACAAUACAUAUCCUAUAUAACACGUCAUGAAGACAGCAAUUUCCAUGCAUGCAAAACACGAUAUAUUAAUUCAAUUAGAAUACCAAAGCUUAAAACUUACAAAUAUUUAAAACAAUAUUAUCAAAUAAUCUUCUAAUAUAAAAUAAUUAGUAAUAAUAAUAAUAAUAGCCAAAUAUAUUAAAACUAUUUAUAAAAUAUAAUAAAAUUAAUUUUUUAAAAUAAUUUUUUUUGGUGUUCAUAAUAAUGUAUAUUUUUUUCAUAUCAAUCGAAUAUUAUACAUUAAUAAUAUUUUCUCAUUUUUAUGUCGUUUUUUCAAAUAUAUUUAUAUACAUAUAUGACCAUAAUUAAAAAUCAAAAUGAUAAUACUUAUCCACUUUGCAUAUUUAUAUACAUUAUCUUAAUUUUAAAAUUAUCGACACUUUCACACGUUCCUAUAAAAUUUAAGAUUACUAUAAAAGUUAAAUUGCUAUAAAAGUGAAUCAAGUUUUCAUUAUAUCACAUAGAAAAAUUAAUAAAAAUGUCUAGAAAUAUUAAGUUGUGAACCUAAUAUACAUAAACAAUCAAAUUAAAAGACAAACCUUUAAUUCAAAUAUUCUUUAAGAUUUUAUUAUUUAUGAUAUUGUUUUUCAUAAAUAUUCAAUUACAUAUAUCCUAGCUAUUUCAUAAACUUAAAACCCUCAAAUUUGAGUUUGACCAGAAUUAUACUGAAAUUCCAUUGGGCUUUAAUUUUUUUUAUAGUGUAUUUAAAAGAAAAACGUAUUUUGCAAUAAUUGAAGUAAAUGAAUUAUAUAUAAAGGAAGUAAGCAAGUUGAAAGCAAAUUUAUUUAAAGUCUCAAACCACAGGCUACUGAUCAGAAUGUCAAAUCAUAAGGGUCCAUUUGAUAUGGAUAUUAUUAAACCAAAUUAGUCUUCUUCUUUUCUUUUCUUUUUUAGCAAAACUUUAAAAUUAGAAAAAAGUUUCAAUUUUCUUUUUGCUAUAUUUGAAAAUGCUUUUUACUACCUAAGCAUUUAUUUAUAUAUGAAUAAAAAUAAAUUAAAUCAAGUCAUUUUAAUUAUAUUACUAACGUAAGAAUAUUUGAAUAUAUGUAUAAUUUUGUUGAUCAACAACUCGACAGUGGAUAUUAUUAUGAGUUACGUGCGUAGGGUAUAGUAAUUGGAUUAUUAUUAAUAAACAUCACCAUAAUUUGUUGUUUUCAACUAAUUGUUUUUAAAUUUGUAUUCCAAAAUUUGAAAGUGAGGGUAAGAUAAUAAUAAUAUCAUGUCUUAAUUUUUCAAAAUGACCAAUAAAUUAAAUUAUAAACUAUAUAUUCACUAAAAAUAAUUUAACAAAAACUUUAUUUGCUUUGCAACAAACAAACAAAUAGAUAAAUAAAACACAUUACUUUCAAUAUAUAUCAUAUGUCAAUACUACCACGACACAUCCAUAUAUACAAAGAUCAGCAAGAAUCAAAGUCAAAGUGAAAAAUAAUUUAUAAGAAAAACAAAUGAUAAUGAUAAUGAUAAUAAUAACAAAAUUAAUUAUUUAAUUUUGAGGUUUAAUUAAGAUGGAAAAUUUAAAAGAGUUAUUAACUUAGACUAUAUUUUUUCAUCUAUAAAAAGGAACUCCAAAGGAUUCACAAAAAUCUCACAACUAAGUAAACCGAGAAAAUGGCAAGACACACGAUCGUGUUUUUCGUUGUUCUUAUUGUUCUUAUUUUUCCGUCAGACAUUUUAUGUUAUUCGGAAAAAGAAAUAAAAAAUUGGUGUAGCCAAACACCAUAUCCAGCACCAUGUGAAGAAUUUCUCAAAACCAAAGCUACUACAAAGAAAACUCCAAUAACCACAAAAUCCCAUUUCUUUGAAAUCUUAGUCGAAACGGCACUAGAGCGUGCCGUUUCAGCCCAUAAAAAUGCUCUUUCUCUCGGCCCAAAAUGCCGAAAUUCCAAAGAAAAAACUGCAUGGACCGAUUGCGUUGACCUCUACGACCAAAUCAUAACCCGACUCAACCGAACCUCUGCCCGCUGCUCACCAGCCGACGCUCAAACCUGGCUCAGCGCCGCUCUCACCGCCCUCGAAACCUGCCGGACAGGGUUCGAAGAACUCGGCCUUUCGGCUUUCGGCUACCCAUUGACGGCUAAUAAUGUUUCCAAGCUGAUUAGUGAUGGGUUGUCGGUGAAUAAACCCGCAUCACCGGAGGGGUAUGAGCCGACGACCAUGACUGAUGGGUUUCCCACGUGGGUUAGUCCUGGUAACCGUAAAUUGCUGCAAUCUGAGUCUCCGAAGGCGGACGUAGUGGUGGCGCAAGAUGGGUCGGGGAAUUUUAAGACGGUGAAGGAUGCUAUCUCCGCCGCAAAGGGCGGCGGGAGAUUUGUGAUAUAUAUAAAGUCGGGGGUUUAUAAUGAGAAUUUGGAUAUUAAGGCUAAGAAUGUUAUGAUGGUCGGCGACGGAAUCGGAAAAACUAUCAUUACCGGCAGUAGAAGUGUCGGCGGAGGUUCCACCACGUUCAGAUCCGCUACCGUUGGUAAGCCCUCUCUCUUUUUCUCUUUAAAACUUUCUUUUUCCUUCAAACUUUUCAUUUUUUAUUUUCAUAAAGUUAUUAAUUUAAAUGGGCCCUUCCAAAUAUGAGCUCUACAUAUUACAAAUUAGAGAAUUUAAGUUAAGAUUUAAAAAGCUUUAAUUAAUAUUUGAACUUUAAUAUGAUAACAUUAAAUAGUGGAUAAUGGUUGAUGUGUGUUGCUAAACCUAUUCUUUUUUCGAAAGAUGAAAAGUAAAAUUCACGAAUUCUAUUUAACCAUAUAGAUUAGUGGAACAACGAGUUGUUUUUGUCAAAAUAGAAGUUUGUAGGAGUAGAAAAGUGAAAAAAGGAUAUUUUUUUAACUCUAUAGUUAACUAUCAAAAUUUUAACAUUAAUCAAUAAGAAUUAGCUAAGACUUAUGAAAGACAUAAAAUUUAACUUCAAAUCAAACAUUAAUUUUUUAAAUAAUCUACUUUGGCAACUUCCCCUUAAUUAAAUAGGAUUAGAGUGAUAAUACGAGGUCUUGAAAUUUAUUAUAAACUUAGUUGUUGUCAUUGUAUUUAUUAUAAACUUGCUUGUAGUGCAUGGCGCUACCAUCAUCUCAUAUGUCACGAUGUGUCGGGAAAGUCAUUGAUUUAGGGAAGAUAAAAACACAAUAAUAUUAAAUUUUAUGUAAUAUAUUAUUGGAUUUUAAAAAAAUCAAAAUAACAUUAGAAAAAGGUUAAAUGUACCUAAUACAUAUGAUAAUGUCAUGUAAGUUGACUUUAUAUAUAAACUAAUCUAUGGAUGAAAAUUCACAAUGUCACAUUAUGAAUUUUUAGUUUCAAUUUAAUAUUAAUCGGCGACCAAUAGGAAAUCAACAAACCUACUUUGAGUAAAUUAGUAAAUUUUGCUGACUGAUUUAAUUGCUAAUAGUAAUUAAUAUAGUUUUGAAUUGUUCUUCAUUGCCAAACCCUAUAAUUCUAUGUUUUAUAACUUUCUUGAGAAUUUAUUCAUUUCUAUUGGUUGUAAUUAAUUUUGGGGUUGAAUUAUAUGCACUUAAGUGACUUUUAUUUCAAUAUAUUUAGAAGUGUGAAUCGUAUGACCCUCUGUUUAAUUAAUUAUAGUUGUAGUAAUUAAAAAUUGACGUGUGAAAUAAUUAUACGGUAGUUUUAGUUUAAAUUUUUAAGAAACCCUACAAAGUUAUAGCUACAAUUAGAGUAAUACUUUUUAAGGUUUAUAUUUAAUUCGGUUUCUAAUUGAACUUCAAAAAGUGACUAUUUUGGUCCUUUUCUUUUCAUUUUCUUAGUACAAGUGGAGAACGAAAGAUUUGAACCUAAUUAAAAUCCUUUGGAUUUGAGUACAUACUUGUGACAUUUUAACUAAACUUUUAAUGAACUUUUUGUUUUCAUUUUUAAGGGAUCAAAAUUGUUACUUUCUUGAAAUGAAAGAAUCAAAUAUAUAUAAAAAUGUAUAGAAAUGUAUGAAAAUGUAUAGAAAUGAAAAUGCACAUUUUUAAAAUAUAAAGACCAGGAGAAUAGGGUUAAAAGUACAGAGAUCAUGAAAAUUAGUAAUAUGAUAUCAUUUUAAAGAUCAAAUAAACACAAUAUUAUUGGUUAGGAAAGGUAUAUAAAUAAUUGAAUUUAACUUGAGCAUAAAGCUAUCAAAUUGGAAUAAUUUGGAGGGAUCUAUUUGGCAUUAAAAUCAUUUUUAUAACAAAGUUGAUAUAAUUUGUUGUUACUCAAAAUAAUUGGAUAAGGUCUUGGAAAAACAAGGUAUAAUUUAUAGUAAAAAGGGAAAGAAUAAUUAAUAUAAAAAGUGAACCCACAAUGUGUUUCCUAAUUAUAUAUAUGGGUUAGAAUUUGUAGAAAAAUAAUAGAAAGAGAAAUAGAAAUAUUUGAUGUGGCAUUUUGUUUGAAUUAUUGAAGUGGAAAUGAUAUCUAUAGGGCCAUAUUUUGAUUUAGGGUUUAAUGUGGGAUGUUAGAGAAAAUUAUACAUAUAUAUAUAUAUUAUAUGAUAUGACAAAAAGAUCAAGUAGCUUGGUUGGUUGGUGUGUAAUUUAAUGGGACCAAAAGUUUCUAAUUAUUUUACUAUAUAUAUAUAUGCACACACACUCAUAUAUAUUAAAAAGAAAUAAAAGAAGGGGUAGCAUAAUAGAUUCUAUUAAAAUUAGUUGAAUUUAGCUUUAUAAAGCAAGAAAGUGACAUGUUUUGAAUUCAUUCAUCACUAUUCAACUUUUGUGAUUUGUAGUUUUCAUCCAAAAGAAUAUUUAUGUUAAUUACAAUUUUCCAUCUUUUUUAUUUUAAAAAGGUAUAAUAACUAAUUAUAUAUAUAUAUAUAUAUAUAUAUAUAUAUAUAUAUAUAUAUAUAUAUAUAUACUAGCUAAAAUCAUAAAUAUAAAAUAUUUUGUUAUGAGUAUAUUGUAUAUAAUUUAGAAAUUUAUAAAAAAUAUUUAUAUUUUAUAGAUAAACCAAAUGUAUUUUUUUUUUGAAAUUUUUUAUUUUUUUAAAAAAUCCUAUUAGUUUCUACUGAUAAACAUUUUAGCAAUGCAUUCAUAUAUAUAGUAAUAUAAUCUGAAACUUUAUUAUAUUUUUUAUUAUACUAUAUUUAAAAAUGUUCUAAAAUAAUUAGAUUUUGAAUGCAUAUCUUAUCUAUCUACCUCAUAGAAAAAUUAUUUAAAAUCACUCUCAAAUCAAACUCACACCCAAUGUCAAACUUAAUCAUAGCUCAAUGAAUUAGAAAACAAUAAUUAACUUACAAAUAAGCAAUUCACAUUCUCAAAAUACUUUUUUAAUAAAUGAUUUUUUUUUAAUUUGUAAUAUAUAAAAAAAAGAACUAAAACGUUGAAGUGUUUUGUUUGCAAAAAUAGCUACAAAAUAAACUAUAAAAUAUAUUGAUGAAUUAAUUUUGAUUGUGAAUAUUUGUAGGUUAUUUAAUUUAAAGCAAAAUUGUCAAAAAAAAAAUUAAUGAGUCUUAUUGUGUUAAUUAACUAAAUUGUGAACGUCGGUGAAAUCACAGCCGUUGAUGGAGACGGAUUCAUCGCCAGAGACAUAACUUUCAGAAACACCGCCGGAGCAAAGAACCACCAAGCGGUAGCGCUCCGAUCAGGUUCAGAUCUCUCAGUCUUCUACCGUUGUGGCUUCGAAGGCUAUCAAGACACUCUCUACGUUUACGCCGAACGCCAAUUCUACAAACAAUGCGACAUUUACGGUACCGUCGAUUUCAUCUUCGGCAAUGCCGCCGUCGUACUCCAAGAUUGCAACAUCAUCGCCCGUGAUCCUCCGAACAAAACCAUCACCCUCACCGCCCAAGGCCGCUCCGAUCCGAAUCAGAACACCGGAAUCUCCAUCCACAAUUGCCGAAUCACAUCCUCUGGCGGCCUCAGCGGCGUCAAGGCCUAUUUAGGCCGCCCAUGGAGGCAAUAUUCCCGGACGGUUGUUAUGAAAUCCUCGAUCGGAGGAUUCAUAAGUCCGGCGGGGUGGAUGCCGUGGAGCGGUAAUUUUGCCCUAAAUACGCUGUAUUACGCCGAGUAUAUGAAUACGGGGCCGGGAGCGUCGACGGCGAAUCGGGUGAACUGGAAGGGUUAUCAUGUGAUUACCAGUGCGUCGGAGGCUUCGAAGUUCACCGUGGGGAAUUUCAUCGCCGGUGGGUCUUGGUUGCCGAGUACGGGUGUGCCUUUCACUUCCGGUCUCUAAUUUGGCGGUGUAAUUUUGUAUGUAUUAUUAAAAAUAUUAAUGAUCGUUUAUUUUUUUUAAUUAUACUUUAAUAAACAAGUUUAUCAUUAAGAAAUUAGAUUUUAUUAUAUCUUUUAAAAAAAUUGAUUUUACUUUUCUUUUCGUCUCUCAAUUCAAAAUGGUUGGGUUUGACAAGAGAAUUACCAUUCAAGAGGGGUAUUGUAUUACAAUUUACAAUGUAAGUUUUUCAAAUAAAUGAAAUAUGAUUUGUUUGAGUAAUUGUUGUUGUUCUCUGUGUGUGUUUUGUAUGAUUUUGUUGGUUUUCAUCACUAAAUUUUUAAUAAUUUUUUGAAAAUUUUGGAUCAUUGCUUCUAAUUAGCUAUGAAGUAAGUGAUGUAAUAAUUCAUCAAGCAGAGCUUGGAUUGUGAAGAGAGAUACAAAAGAGUUAGCCAUGACAUUAGUUUGGUUUAGAAUUUAAAUUUGAAUUGUCUUUUGGAUAGACGGUUUUGUUUAGGUGGAAUAGCAAAUUCAAAGACGUUAACUUCUUGAUCCAAAAUCAUAUUAUUGACUAUUAACUUAAAUGAACAACUUUAAAUUUGUUAGAAAUUGAAUAAAAACCUUCAUUCACAUACUUUAGUCUAUAUUAAUUUGAUUAUAGAAGAUGAAAUGUGUUGUGAAUAGAUUUAUUGAGAUCGAGAGAUUGAAUAAAAGUAGAACGUGGCCAACGAGGUUGUAUGAAACCAAUAACCAUCUCAUGGUUUUAUGAAGUUUAGAAAACUAGUAAGAAACAUAAUGGUAGCUUAGGUAAUCAAUGAGGAAUCUAGUGGUAGUUUAAAGAACUCAUAAGCGAGCUUAUAGGUAACUUGACAGACCUCUUUAGGAUCCAUGAAAAACAUAAGAGUCACCUGGAAAAUCUUAGAAAAUACAUAUGAAUGAUUUCUGCAAGACCCAUAAAACCUUAUAAAACCCAUGAAGGACCUUAAAGAGAUUUGGAAUUGUUCGGAUUCUCAACAAAUGAUCCAUAACUAAAUCAUUCAAGAGUUGGGUGGAUAAUGAACUUACUUCCAAUGGUGAUAGUGUAACUAUCCAAUGAGAGUAACUCAACAAUCUCUGAAAUUUAAGAGAGACACUUUUAAAUUCAAAUAUCAGUUACACGUUACUAUUCUAUACAAACGAUAUUUCGGUGGUCAAAGACGUGCUCAAAAUCCUAUAUCCAAGACUAAUUUGGGUGUCGAAACAAAUGCAUGUUUCAAGUCUAAUGGCCUAAGUGAAUCCAAUUCAAAUGGUGGGCUUUUGGGCAAUUGAAAAUUGGUUUAGUUGUCCGGAAUGUCAAAAUUUCAAUUUGCUAUAUCUAUUACGAUAUUGAAGAGAUUGGUGUUUCUUCUUCCCUAAAAUUUCUUAGGUUUAAUAAAACCUAAAUAUUUUCUAAAUUAAAUAUUGAAGAAUUUAGUAGACACAAAAUUAAAAGUAAAGAAUGUAUAGUCCAACAUAGAAAUAAUGUAUUAGAUGGAAGUGAUACGCACAGUGGUUGGCUUCUUCGAUCAAUCACAAAUUUUAGUUAGAAAAAAUAUCAAUCUAUACUCUCCAAAAUGGUAACAGUUAAAGCCAUUCUUUACAUUUCAUUCAAACAUGUAAUUGUUGAUAAUAAACUCCUCAAUUGCCAUAAUGGAAUUUAUUUAGAUCCUUUUAUUAUUACUAUCUUUGAAAAUCGUCGAUACAUCAACCCUUAUAAUUAUACAAUAAUGUAGAUUUAUUUUGAAGUUUUAGAUUAAGAGAAUGAUGCAUGAACUAUUUACAAAGGAAGUAAGUCAUCACUAAUCACUUAGGAUUCAAUUUGAUUCGAUAAUUAAACUUCCAAGGGUUUAAUUAAUAAGAUUAUAAAUUACCAAUUCGGCUAUAAAUUGACGAUAUUACCCUAUUUUCCUAUUCGGUGGUCAAAUUAAAUAGUGAACAAAAAAUAAAGUCAGUUCGUUCAACAGUACUUUCAGAAAAAAGAAAAAGACCAAUAUAAAAUUGAAAAUUGAGAACAGAAAUUCCUAUUCUUUCUCCAGUAAAAAAAUGGAAUUUGGUCCAAUUAAAUGCAAAUUCCUGCAAAAUUCCCUAACUGUUUUAUGGAAUUCUGUUUAAAUCAAAAUCAGAUUGGAUUUUGCCCAACUUCAUUGGCAGAGUUAAAACUCCUUGGCUUCUUGAAUUCAACAUCAACAUCUUGAUGGAAUGUUCAAUUCAAAUGGCCACAAAAGAAACUAUGCUACCUUGAACAGCUCUUGAACAGCUCUCGACUCAGCUCAACUCGAAAUUGAGCACCUAGAGAGGUGCUAGUGUUUCAUGGUAAGAUCACUCAGAAUCUCAUAGCUCAAAAACAUGGUGGAGAUUCACAAUCUGAUAUGUUCCAACGCAGUGAAGGAAACGUUCAAUUAACAAAAAUUGCUUAAACCAAUUGAUUAACUACAGAUUAUACAUCUGACUUUUAAAUUUGAUGUCUUCAACAACUCAUUAGUCACAUGAAGAUAGAGUGUUUAAGUUUUCAUUAAAAUAUAUUAGUAGACUCCAUGGAGAGGGCUUGUUCUCUUGUUGGUCAAAGUAAGUCACUUUGCCUACUAGCAAGAGAGAUGGAUAACUGAAUAUGUAUACAAAAGCAUACAUGUGGAAGUGAUAAGAAAAAGCUAUAUUAUGCUAGUACUAGGAUAGGAUUACAACAGAUAAUAGAGGACAAGGAAGAGAAGACCUAGAAGCAAUGCUCCUGACCCGAAACCGAAUCCAUCAGCAUCGUAGCCAGGGCUGCUGGAAUGCUGAACUGCAAAAGUGGAUGAAGAAGCAUGAAGAACGGGAAAGAAUAUAGAAAGAAAGUGUACAAGCAGUAAGAGGAAAAGAAGAAUCACUGCAACCCAAAUGCCCAGUUCAAGUAGAGGCUCUAUGCUUUCCCAGAUGGAUGAAAGAGUAGGCCAAAAUAUUAUCAUCCCCAGAAAUCCAACUAUGAUACAAGGUACAACAGGAGAUGGACCUGCAGUAGCAUAUCCCAUUAUCUUUCUCUGAAUCAGAACUUUGGGUUGCAAAAGAGUGAUAUUGAGAGGGGAAAAGGCUGUUUGUUGGUGGUAGGAGUGACUUUGGAAAAGCUUCGCUUCUUUUCAUGCUUUGUGAAGGUCAGCAUAUUAGUUGAUCAAUGACGAAGACUAGAGAAUUUCAGUUUAUUUAAUCACGUCUUAUAGAGAAUAUAGGUUGGAUUGGAUGCCAACCCGAGCAAACUGUUUAAAGCUUGAUGAGUAACUAAUUACUUAUCAAUUGAAAGAAAUAGAAAGGAGACAAUGUAUGUAUCUUUGUGGGUCAUGAUGGUCUAGUCUAUGCCAAGUAAGAUGGAUAAUCAGGUACCAUAAGAAAGGCACCUGAUUAUUUUUACAUUUUUAUUAAAAUUAAAUGAUGUUAGAUAAUGACAUUUAGUUAAAUGAAAAAUGUGUUUGAAUGACAUCAUAGGUGGGCAUACAGAUAAAUAAUAUGCCAAAGUCAAGAGGUUCAGAUUUAUCAUUUGCGGGAGCAGUUGGAAGUCCAGAACCGUCCAAUAUCUGUACUUUAUUCUAUUUGACAUAAUAAAAUAACAUGGAUGGAGACCAAGAAAGAACCUGAUAAAUAAGCAUCCCGUAGCUCAAUGAACACUCAGCAUCUGUAUAGCAGAUAAGAUCACUUGAAUAGUAAACUGCAACACUGGAAAAUAUCUGUAAAAGCAGGAUUAUAGGGGAAACGAAUGACAAUGUCUUACAAGAUUAUGAGCAAACAGCCUCUUGCCAUUGGAGUUUUUUUUUUUUUUGUUAGGGUGGUUACAAGUUCAUAGUUCGAUUAACUAAGUCUUUAAAUUGUUUGAGAUAGGAACUUCAAUAUUCAAAAAGAAUAUAACUUUCCAUUCAUCCCCAUAUAAGAAUUAAACGGAGAAGGAAAAUAGUCUGAUCUCCUCUUGACACAGUUGAAAUUUACCGAGAAUUCAUAAUGUAUUUCACUGAAUCUCCUAAAACUACAAAAUUACAGCUUGUAAACCAUGUAGAUGAUGGUGGUGGCCAGACACAAGUGCAGUUCUUUCAUAAUGUAGGAUUAUAUCGGAGAUGUUGCUCAUAGUAGUUAAUCAACUGCAGUGAGAGAGUAGUUGUAAAUACUAGCAAGUCAAAAACCAAUUAAAGAAGGUAAAGUACGGAAAUUUGAUCAAUUACCAGAUGUGGAUUGUUAGCUUUAAGAAAUUUGUUAUUCACCGUCACUUCUUUUCCAUCCGACCUGCAUGCAAAAAAUGAGAUCCACAAUCACUGCUUCAGAUAGAAUAAUACUCAACUAGCAAAGGAAGAGCAGAUAGUGUUGCAUAACAAACCUCACAGCCAAGAAGGUUACGAUUACAUCUGGGAUGUUAUUUAAUACUGAAACUGAAUAACCAACAGGCCUGAUAAUCCUUGUGAUGGUAGACACAUUUCUGGAGUGGCCUGACGAACUAGGAUUCUGGGGUCCUAAUUGUUCACUUGGAUCAAUAGGCUCAAUGCUUACAGUUGCUGCAUUUUGUUUUAAUCCUUGUUCAGGCAAGGCUGAAUCCUUCGUGAACCUUUUCACCCUACUGGACUUCCUUCUCUUGGCACCAGUGGAGUGACUUACCUGAGCAGAACCCACCACGCAAUCGGCCUUGGAAACAUCAUAAACAAGGCUAACAUCGUUAGAAGCCACUGUUUUUUUCUCAGAAUCAACCAUGUUGCCAGAUAUCGAUGCAUUGAAGUCGAUAAGUUUCAGAUCAUAUUCGUCUUUCUUUCUACUUCCAUCAAAUUUCCCAUCUAGCUCUCCUUCAUGAAUAGAGUCUAAGGGUUCUUGAGAAAUAGGAAGAUCACGAUGAAGUUUCUUGUUAAAUGGAGCGGCCGAUAGACGAUCAUCCAGAGUACUGAUAACUACAUCCGUGACAUUAUCAAUGGCUAUAAUUUGGAGAUCUUUUUCCUCUUGAGAUUCACUUUCAAUGUCUUCGUCCUUGCGCUUCCGCUUCCGCUGCUUUCCUGAUCGCGAUUGACAAAACCUGAACAACACAGAACAGUCCCCAGUUGUGAGGAAAUUUUCUAAAUUACAUUUCCAUUCUCCAUAAGUUUGCUGCGGUCAUUUCACAAAAUAAAAAAUAAUUGAAUAGGUCCAAGAACCUUUCUUCAUAUUCUUCAAUAAAUUCAAAGCAUGACUGGAGAUUGUCCAAGGGUUCCCAUGUAUUUUCUGUCUCUGGCCAACCACGCCUGUCAAAAAAAAAUUCCUGAAGCUACUUUCACGUAUAUCAAGAACAAAUCACAGCAAUAGCUGAAAGAACUGUACAGUUAACAAACAGAAAAACCUCAAAAUCGUACACACCAUUUGACGAGGUACUGAAGCUGUCCCUAUAAAUCCGAAAAAGAAAAAAAACUCAAAUCAGACUCGUAAAAGAACAUCCAGAAACAAAAUCGCCAAAACAACAAAUCCGAGAAUAAAAUACCAAACUAAUUCCAUAACAAAACACCGGAAUCAAAAGCUAUUUCCACAGUAAAUCGAAAUAGAAGGGAAAUAAACAAAUAAACGCACUCUCGUAAACAUCCACAAUUUCUCAAUUACAUUCACAUUCCAUAAUUUUUCGAAUAGAGUGACCGAAAUACCUAACCAAUUCCUAGAACAUAACCCCAUUACAGACGUAACGUUAUAUCCACAGUUUACGAAUAGAAAGACCGAAAUACCUAACCAAUUUUCAGGCGCUGAUUUUUUAUCCACAGUUGUCUACCAAAUUCUGUUUACAAACGGAAUCAUGAUAUAUCUAAAACAUAACAUUAUCCUAGAACAAGUAGGUACAAUGGCGGAAGAGACCAAAAUACCUUACGAACUCUUUUCCGCCGAAUGGCUUCAACUUCGAAGAAGCCCUCAUCUAGGUUAGUACGUUCAGAAGCAGAAACAUCAGGUAUGACAUUGUCUUCGCCGUUGACCACUCCGGCGUCGUCGAUGGGUAGAGGAAUUUGCACAGAAGCAUUGUGAAGUGAAGAAGGUGAAUGUGGAAAUAAAAUUUUGGGUUCACUACCGUUGUUGUUAGAGAUUGAAGGGGCUGAAUCGCCAUUAAGAUGAGUUGAUUGAGUGAAAUCAGGGAUUGGAAGCGCCACUGUUUCAGGUUCAGAACUUCCCGCCGCUUUCUUCUUCCCUCUCCCCAUUUUCGUUCUAUCCCUCCGUUCCUUUCCUUUCCCUCUCUUUUCAUUUUUCAAUUUAUACAAUAUAAAAAAAAAGAUAAUUAAGUGAGCGCUAAUCGAAUUUAAUUAAGCUAAUUUGGACAUCAAAGCAUAAGUAAUCCUUUAGUCCGUUUUUAACACGGGUCUUUCACUCCCCAUUUUAUUUUAUUAAAUUAAUAGUAUUUUCCUUCCAACUUAAUAUUAGAUUCAUCAAAUGACAAAAACAUUUAUAAAAAAAUAGCUAAUGACACAUGCUUUUUAUAUAUUGCGAACACAGUAAAAUUAGUGAUAUUAGACGAUGAUUAUAGAAUUAUCAAAAAACUAUUAAACUGUAAUCAUAGAGUUAUUAACUUUAAAAUUUACUAUUUUUUUUGUUGAAAAAAUUGGGUGACAUUAGCUCUAUUAUUAUAAUUUUUUUAUAUUUCUGCAAUAGCCCUUUGAUUUUAGGUAUUUUUUAAAAAAUAUAAAAAAUUGUGAAACUAUUUAAAUUUCAUACAACAAAACCACAAAAAAAAAAACAUCAUUAAUUACACUUGCUUAUAUGUAUGUGUGUAUAUAUAUAUAUAAAACCCGUUUCUAUUCAUGUUGCUUUCUCAUUACAAUAAACGAUGGUGUUAUCAUGAUCAGUGUCCAUUAUCCAACACAUGAAGCUCUUGGAAUGCAUUCUUAUCAAAGACUUGUUAUCAAUAGAGUAAUAAAAGUACAAAGUGUUUUUGUU